UUUAGAUAGCUAUUACCUUUCUUUUUUGCCUAAAACUACUACCACAAUUAGUUCGAGUGGAAAUGAAGAGGCUGCUACCAUGAUCUAUUCCUAUCACAAUGUGAUGACAGGGUUUGCAGCAAGAUUAACGGCAGAACAAGUGAAGGAAAUGGAGAAGAAACACGGCUUUGUCUCUGCUCAGAAACAGAGGAUUUUGUCCUUGCACACUACUCAUACUCCAAGUUUUCUUGGUUUGCAACAGAACAUGGGCUUGUGGAAGGAUUCCAACUAUGGGAAAGGCGUGAUCAUUGGAGUUAUAGACACUGGAAUCGUUCCUGACCAUCCUUCACUUAGCGACGUUGGGAUGCCUUCCCCACCUGCUAAGUGGAAGGGAGUUUGCGAGUCCAAUUUCACAAACAAGUGUAACAACAAGCUCAUUGGAGCGAGGUCUUACCAACUUGCCAAUGGUUCCCCGAUAGACGAUGAUGGACAUGGUACACACACAGCAAGCACAGCUGCAGGAGCCUUUGUGAAAGGUGCUAAUGUAUUUGGGAAUGCUAAUGGCACUGCUGUUGGUGUUGCCCCUCUUGCCCACAUAGCCAUAUAUAAGGUGUGUAGUUCUGAUGGUUGUUCUGACAGUGAUAUUUUAGCUGCCAUGGAUGCAGCUAUAGAUGAUGGUGUAGAUAUUCUUUCAAUCUCUCUUGGUGGAAGUCCAAUCCCUCUCUAUGAAGACAGUAUUGCUAUGGGGGCAUACAGUGCAACAGAAAGAGGCAUUCUUGUUAGUUGCUCAGCAGGCAAUGAUGGUCCAUUCCAUGGCUCAGUAGAUAACUCAGCCCCUUGGAUUCUUACAGUAGGUGCCAGCACCCUUGACAGAAAGAUAAAAGCUACUGUUAAGCUUGGAAAUAGAGAGGAAUUUCAAGGAGAAUCUGCUUAUCGUCCACAGAUUUCCAACUCAACCUUCUUCACAUUAUUUGAUGCUGCAAAAAAUGCAAGUGAUGAAUUUAAAACCCCUUAUUGCAGACCAGGGUCGCUCACUGACCCUGCCAUAAGAGGAAAGAUAGUGUUAUGUUUAGCAUUCGGUGGUGUAACCAUUGUUGAUAAAGGACAAGCUGUGAAGGAUGCUGGAGGUGUUGGCAUGAUUAUCAUCAACAGUCCAGAUGACGGUGUUACUAAAUCAGCUGAUGCUCAUGUUCUUCCAGCAUUGGAUGUUUCAGAUGCAGAUGGAACAAAAAUCCUUGCUUAUAUGAAUUCAACAUCAAACCCUGUUGCUACAAUCGCAUUCCAAGGAACAAUAAUUGGAGAUAAAAAUGCUCCUAUGGUUGCUGCAUUUUCCUCAAGAGGACCAAGUAGAGCUAGUCCUGGCAUCUUGAAACCUGACAUAAUCGGUCCUGGUGUUAAUAUCCUUGCUGCUUGGCCUACCUCCGUGGAUGACAACAAGGACACCAAAUCCACAUUCAAUAUUAUAUCAGGCACCUCAAUGUCUUGCCCUCACCUUAGUGGCGUAGCAGCUCUGCUGAAGAGCACACAUCCUGAUUGGUCUCCUGCAGCUAUUAAGUCUGCAAUCAUGACAACUGCUGACACGUUAAACCUUGCCAAUAGUCCAAUACUAGACGAAAGGCUCCUUCCUGCUGACAUUUUUGCCACUGGUGCAGGACAUGUUAAUCCAUCGAGGGCAAAUGAUCCAGGACUAGUUUAUGAUAUCCCAUUUGAGGACUAUCUACCUUAUUUAUGUGGUUUGAACUAUACGAAUCGACAGGUAGGUAACCUGUUACAACGCAGGGUGAAUUGCUCGGAGGUGAAAAUUAUCCUUGAAGCACAAUUAAACUAUCCUUCAUUUUGCAUAACUGAACUUGGAUCAACUCCUCAGACAUAUACAAGAACUGUGACCAACGUUGGUGACGCUACAUCAUCUUACAAAGUGGAGGUAGCUUCACCAAAAGGCGUUGCCGUGGAAGUUAAGCCCACAGAGCUAAAUUUCUCCGAGUUGAACCAGAAGUUAACAUACCAAGUGACAUUUUCCAAGACAACUAGCAGCUCAAACUUUGUGAUUGUUGAUGGAUUCUUGAAAUGGACUUCUAGUAGACACUCAGUGAGAAGUCCAAUUGCAGUUGUGUUAGCCUAGUCAAAAAUUGGCUUUACGAGUGCAUAAACUACUCAUACAUUUUAUUUUACUGAAAAUACUGUUUGUUUAUCGUUAUUUACUUCAUGUGAGUAAUUUGGGUACAUGUGAAAAAGUUUCGUAAUGGUGAAGAUAUGAAUGACCGCAUAGUAUAACGAUAACACUAUUAAAUGAAAGUUAAGAAAAAAAUAUUUUUGACUCUUUUACCAACUUAGAAGUAGGACAACAAAAACAAGUCCUACGAGUUCCCUAGAAAAGACAUUAGACCACGCUCGGUUUCGUUUACGAAAUUAAUGUCAAUCCAAACCAAAUUAAAAUAAAUUUAGUUUGGUUCUGUUUGAUUAGAUUAUCAAUUUUUGAGUCUAUAUUAAGUGUUAUUGAACAAGUUUACCUCCAAUUCAACUUCUAUCUUCGAAAUGUGAGAGUUUAUUAUUUAGGGUUCAAUUUUCAGUCAUGAGAGUUUCAAUUUAGGGUUUCAGAAUUGGGAAUUACGUAAUUCAUAAGUGUAGGAGCUACAGCGGGUCACUCUCAAAUGCCAAAUUGGGUCAAUUUUUAAUGGGCUAUUGACAUUGGAUAGGCUGGGCUGUCAGUGUAGUGUAGUGCUAAAAUUCGUGUAUUCGGUUAUAUCGAAUUAAUUUUGUUAAAAAUUGAAAAUCGAAUCGAACAACUAAAAUUGCUCCAUCAAAUAAAAAAACCGAUAUUGAAAUUUAAAAAAAUCCCGAAAUAUGCCCGGGCCUAGUUGUAAUUAACUCACAUGUUUGGAAUAAGUAUUUCUUACACGCCAGUAGUUUCAAAGGUAAAAAAUAUAUAUUAAAUAAAUCAUACACAUACACUGUACUAACAAAUUUAUUUUUUAUUUGAAUUCUAUAUAAUUUAAUAAGAUACAAUAAUAUUGAUGUAUUCGUUGUACUUUAUGUAUAAUAAAUUUAUCUUUUAUGUGAAUUCAAUGUUAAUUAGAAAGAUACAAUGAUUUUAAUAUAAUCAAAAUUAACCUUCAUUGAAUUUCAAUACAUAACUCUUUAAAAUAAAUAAAUAUUAAUUUAUGAGUAAAUAAUAUUUCUACAAAAUAAUAAUAUUUUAACGUAACUAAGCAUAAAAAUAAAAUAAUUACAAACAUAUACCCCUUUACAUUCAUACACUUACUAAAUACUUACAUUGUAUACCCCCAACUAAUUUAAAAAAUAUUACUUGAAUGACUAUGUGAGAAUUUCGAUUCAAUACUUAAAUUAGGACGUUGAUGCUAAACUUGUUAAUAUGACAAAAAAUAAAUAAAUAACAGGGACAUUCCUAUAUAUAAUCAUUCCACACCCUUCCACCCCUUAAUCAUACUCCCCCACCCUAUCCCACUCGUAUAUUAUUUUUCAUGAAAAAUAUUUUCUUACUUUCGAACGCACUCUGUACCAAAAUACCCUUCAUUGUAUAUGUAAUUUUCAAUCACUUCAAUUAUUAAUGGAGGAUAUAUCAUUUCCAUGGGAAGAAAUGUAUGAUUUUUGAGUGUUUCACAUUUAAACUUUGACUGUUUAAAUUACGUUAAGUUCGAGGCAUAUAUGACUUUAAUCCAUAAUUUCCACCUCAACUUACACAAAUUUAACUAAUCUGCUUAAAUAUGAAUAAUGUUCAUAAUUAUGAUACUAAGAAUAUAAAUAAAAAUAUAAGACCCACUGUCAACAAAAAUUUCUCAUUUUUUUAAAAAAAAACAUACUUAACAAUUGUUUUUUAAUCUUAAUUUCAAAUUUUAAACUUUUAAUCUCGACUUUACCUUUACUGCUAGGACAGGCUUGUUAAUCACACUUUUGACGUGGUCAUUACUUUCCUUUAUUUUUUAUGGAAAUAAUGAAAUCAACUAGUCUAUUAUUUGUGUAAAAUAAUUCUACAUACUUUCUCUUUCAAUCAUGACUUUUUUUUUUCCACACUAUAACAUUAAAAUGUCUCAUUGUGAGUUUUAACGUGUAAUAGAGGGCACAUUUUAACAAUAGAGGCGGAAUCAAAUAAUUGCAAGAAAUUCAUUUGAGUAUCUUUUGGUGAAAAAAUUAUAUUAUAUAUAUGAGGUUAAUUUUUUUUUACGUUAAUUUUUUUUUUGUGAAAAUCAUAUGACCUUGUCACUAUUAUUGACAACCCCUUCCCUUCUAUAGAUACUUAAAUUAUGUCGAUUCGAAUAGCGGGUGUGGAGGAAAAUGAAAUUAAGUUAACGUUGAUAGUCUUAUAAGGACAAAGCAAUAUAUGUGAAUCUGAUUUUAAUCGAAUUAGUGGACGAUAAAUACUUAAUAGUGAAGCUUAAAAAAAACUAAAAACAUAUAGUUGUUUGAUUGAGAUAAAGUGGAUCAUGAAAGGUCGUGGACCACUUUGUUGUGACACUUUUUCGUGGAAAAUUAGAUGGAUAGAUUGGUGGUUUAAUUAUAAUACGUGUGGAGAAUUUUCUUGAUUUUUUAUAUUUUGAUUAUUUUUAAUGAAAAUUCAUGUUUUGCUACUGAUUACCAAAGCCAAAAUAUAAUGUAAUAAGAAAUGAAUUUUGGAAUUUUCCCUACCUAAACCCUUACAAUAAUUAAUAGAGUAAGGAUUGUUCAAAUUCGCAUAAAGAAAAUUUUUCAUUUUUAAUUAACCCCUUUCUGCACGCCAAAUGAAAUUUAAUAAAUCAAAAAUUAGAAUGGAUUUGAGUGUAAUAAAUAUAAUGAUAAAAGAACUUAUCUUAGUCCUAACUCGGCCACAAAAUAGCUCAUGAGGAGACACUGCCCAAGAUCGUAAAGGGAGGGCCUUAUGCAAUGUAACAAUAUUGUAUAAUUAUGUAUAUAUGAUGUAUAACUAUGUAUCAAAGAUGUAUAUACAUCCAUAUACUCUGUUUGUACAAUGUUUAUGCAUUGUAUCUGUUCAUCUUCCUCAACAAUGUGUUUUCUUGAAUCUUAAUUUUAUACGUAUCGUGCCCCAAAGAAAGGGGAAAAAGAACAAAAUUUUUUUUAACACAAAUAAUUGAUUGAAUUCAUUGUUUACUUUCCAUUUUUGAUAUACAUAGAUUAUAUUAUUAAUUAUACACUUAUUAUUCAUGAAUUAAAUACAUAUAUUAUCUAUCCAUCCACUAAUUUUAAUUUCAUUCCUUGGAUUUCCACAUAUAAAAACAAUAUUUUUUUCCAGCAGCCCCUGUUGGUCCUUUGUGCCCCCACAAGUAAUCAGGUGGACUGAAAUGUAGUGCCAAUUAUCUCUAAUAAUUUCUGCAAUUUAAAGGAAUAAAUAGAUAAAUAUGGAUUUCGACAUAUAAAAACACAGCACAAAAUUAAUAAAAGUUUAAGUUGUGUUGGGAUAUUAGGUCUUGGGUCAACUUUUGUUAGUUAAAUGAGUUUGAUGAUUAGAAUACGCCAUAAUUAUUAUGAUCAGUAAUAAUUUAAAAGUUCAAAUGAAAUAUCGAGUCAAAAUUAAGUGUAAUUUUUCGUGGAUUUACAUUUAUCUAAUUAUCUCAUUCGCCAUUUUCUUAUGUCGAUCACCACUGUCCUCUCUCGCUUGCCUCUCUUCCUGUAUCUCUGGUAUACAUGUACUUAAUACGAUUCUCAUGAUGUUUAUGGGGAUGAUUCACAUAUAUCUAGAUAUCUCGGUCGCCUCUCUUCUUUUUUCGCUCGUGUUUCUCAAUUGAAAAUGACAUAAAUAAGUCAAACUUUAAAAGAAUGUCAUAUACGAGCUUUUUCCACAAGUUUAACAACAAAUUUGAGCUUUUUUCCUUAAAGGGAUAAAACGAAAUUAAAUAUAUUAUAGUGGAUGUCAUUUGGAAAAUAAAACCAUAGAAUAUAAUUUUCUGAUACUGGAGAAGUGAUAAUUUUGUUCAUACACAUGUCUUUUUUCCACAAUAAUUUUUCUAGAUGUUGAAUAGGUCAAUAAUAAAACACUAUAAAUAGACAGUUGCUUCAAAGCAGAGAAAUUCAUCAAAUAAAUCAUCACUUGUUGUAUUAGCUAGCCAUGGGAUUAUUGAAAAUCCUUCUUGUUUUCAUCUUCUGUUCUUUCCAAUGGCCUACUAUUCAGAGUAAUCUCGAGACUUAUAUCGUCCAUGUUGAAUCCCCUGAAAGCCUAGUUACUACUCAAUCAUUGUUAACGGAUUUAGGUAGCUAUUACCUUUCUUUUUUGCCUAAAACUGCUACCACAAUUAGUUCGAGUGGAAAUGAAGAGGCUGCUACCAUGAUCUAUUCCUAUCACAAUGUGAUGACAGGGUUUGCAGCAAGAUUAACUGCAGAACAAGUGAAGGAAAUGGAGAAAAAACACGGCUUUGUCUCUGCUCAGAAACAGAGGAUUUUGUCUUUGCACACUACUCAUACUCCAAGUUUUCUUGGUUUGCAGCAGAACAUGGGUGUAUGGAAGGAUUCCAACUAUGGGAAAGGCGUGAUCAUCGGAGUUAUAGACACUGGAAUUAUUCCUGACCAUCCUUCUUUUAGCGAUGUUGGGAUGCCUCCCCCGCCUGCUAAGUGGAAAGGAGUUUGUGAGUCCAAUUUCACCAAUAAGUGUAACAACAAGCUCAUUGGAGCCAGGUCUUACCAACUUGGUAAUGGUUCCCCGAUAGAUAGUAUUGGACAUGGUACACACACAGCAAGCACAGCUGCAGGAGCCUUUGUGAAAGGUGCUAAUGUAUAUGGCAAUGCUGAUGGAACUGCAGUUGGUGUUGCUCCUCUAGCCCAUAUAGCCAUAUAUAAGGUGUGUAAUUCUGUUGGUUGUUCUGAAAGUGAUGUUUUAGCUGCCAUGGAUUCAGCUAUAGAUGAUGGAGUAGAUAUUCUUUCAAUGUCCCUUAGUGGAGGUCCAAUCCCUUUCCAUAGAGACAAUAUUGCUAUCGGGGCGUACAGUGCAACGGAAAGAGGAAUUCUUGUAAGUUGUUCUGCUGGAAAUAGUGGUCCAUCCUUUAUCACAGCAGUAAACACCGCCCCUUGGAUUCUUACGGUAGGUGCCAGCACGCUUGACAGAAAGAUAAAAGCUACUGUUAAGCUUGGAAAUGGAGAGGAAUUUGAAGGAGAAUCUGCUUAUCGUCCAAAGAUUUCCAACGCAACAUUCUUCACUCUAUUUGAUGCUGCAAAAAAUGCAAAAGAUCCAUCCGAAACCCCUUAUUGCAGACGAGGUUCACUCACUGACCCUGCUAUAAGAGGAAAGAUAGUAUUAUGUUCAGCACUCGGCCAUGUAGCCAAUGUUGAUAAAGGACAAGCUGUGAAGGAUGCUGGAGGUGUUGGCAUGAUUAUCAUCAACCCAUCACAAUAUGGUGUCACUAAAUCAGCUGAUGCUCAUGUUCUUCCAGCAUUGGUUGUUUCAGCUGCAGACGGAACAAAAAUUCUUGCUUACAUGAACUCAACAUCAAGCCCUGUUGCUACAAUUGCAUUCCAAGGAACAAUAAUUGGAGACAAAAAUGCUCCUAUGGUUGCUGCAUUUUCCUCAAGAGGACCAAGUAGAGCUAGUCCUGGAAUCUUGAAGCCUGACAUAAUCGGUCCUGGUGCUAAUAUCCUUGCUGCUUGGCCUACCUCCGUGGAUGACAACAAGAACACCAAAUCCACAUUCAAUAUCAUAUCAGGCACCUCAAUGUCUUGCCCUCACCUUAGUGGCGUAGCAGCUCUGCUGAAAUGCACACAUCCUGAUUGGUCUCCUGCUGUUAUUAAGUCUGCAAUGAUGACAACGGCUGACACGUUAAACCUUGCUAAUAGUCCAAUACUCGAUGAAAGGCUCCUUCCUGCUGACAUCUAUGCAAUUGGUGCAGGACAUGUUAAUCCAUCAAGGGCAAAUGAUCCAGGACUAGUUUAUGAUACACCAUUCGAGGACUAUGUACCUUAUUUAUGUGGUUUGAAGUACACAGAUCAACAGGUAGGUAACCUGAUACAACGCAGGGUGAAUUGCUCGGAGGUGAAAAGUAUCCUUGAAGCACAAUUAAACUAUCCUUCGUUUUCCAUAUUUGGACUUGGAUCAACUCCUCAGACAUAUACCAGAACUGUAACCAAUGUUGGUGAUGCUACAUCAUCUUACAAAGUGGAGGUAGCUUCACCAGAAGGCGUUGCCAUCGAAGUUGAACCCUCCGAGCUAAAUUUCUCCGAGUUGAACCAGAAGUUGACAUACCAAGUGACAUUUUCCAAGACAACUAAUAGCUCAAACCCUGAGGUUAUUGAGGGAUUCUUGAAGUGGACUUCUAAUAGGCACUCAGUGAGAAGUCCAAUUGCAGUUGUGUCUGCCUAGUCAAAAAUUGGCUAUAUAAGUGCAUUAAGUACUCGGACAUUUGAAAAUGCUGUUUGUUUAUAUGUUACUUUUUAAUAUUAUAUUAUUAAAUGUAUUGUUUCAAUAAACUUUAUGUUCACAGUUGUUUGAAGAAUGCAAAAGCAUAUCCUCUUUGAUGUUAGUGUCCAUGCACUGCUCAACUUUUCUUCUUGAUUUCAUUGAUAAUAAAUAUUACUUGAGUGAUUAUGUAAGAUUUUCACUCCAUACUUAAAUUUGGGAAAUUUGCUGUCACCCUUUGAUCCAGAAUCUUGACAGUGACUUCAAAAAUAAAGUCUUAGUCUUCGGUGACUUCAAAAAGUAAUUGGGACGUUGAUGCUUUAACUAUAUUAGUAAGACAAGAAAAGUAAUAGAGACAUAUACUAUGAAUUUCCAAGAAAAAACGUUGUAAUUAAUUCGAACGAACUUAAAUUUUUUAACAUAUUGUGGCCAAAUGAGAAAUCUAUAGCCAACUAUACAUGUCAAGUCCAAAUUCUACCAUUGAAGGGGACCAAUGUACAUCAUCCAUGGUACAUAAUUUAUCUUCCAAAGAAAUUAAAUUAACCAAUACAUAUUUGGUUUUGUAAUAAUUUUCACAAAAAAACAAGAAUUACAGAAUGCAUUGUUGCUAUUUGUGUGUGGCCCAUCAUGUAUUGGUAGCAUUUUUUUACUAGUUAAUAGAGUAAGGAUUGUCCAAAUUCGUAUAAAGAUAUCAUCAUUCUUAAUUAGCUCCUUUCUGCAUGCCCGGUGAAAUGGAAUGAAUCAAGAAUUAGGACGACGUAUAUAACUCUAAUAUAAUAAGAAAUGAAUUUGCCCUACCUAAACCCUUACAACUAGUAAAUAGAGUAAGGAUUGUUCAAAUCCGUAUAAAGAGAUAUUCGCAUUCUUAAUUAUCCGUAUAUGAUGUAUAGCUAUGUAUCAGACAUGUAUAAAUAUUCAUAUAUCUCUGUUUGUACAUGCAUUGUAUCUGUUCAUCUUCCUUAACAAUGUGUUUUCUUGAAUCUCAACCAACUCAAAUCUUCUCUAAACACUCCGAAUGGUUUUGUUGUUGCCUAGCUCUUAUUGAAUUGUAUAUCUUUUGCAUAUAAGAAAAAGAUUUGAUUAUGAUAUAGGGACUCAACACUUCACGAUAGCGAAUAAUUUUAUAUGUAUCCUGCCCUAAAAGAAAGAAAAAACAAAAAAACUUUACUCGCCUCUCCUAUUUUACUCGCCUCUCUCCUCUCUCGCUCAUCCCUCUCCUUGUAUCCGGUAUAUAUAUGUUUUUGGUGUGAUUCUCAUAAUGUAUAUGGGGAUGAUUCACAUAUACCACAAUUGAAGGAGAUCAAUCUACAUCAUCCAUAAUUCACGUUUUGUCUUGCAAGUAAAUUAAAGUAACCAACUUUAGUUUUGUUAUUAAUCACACUUAGUGGCAUUUCUUUUGCUAUCUCUUUUAAUAUUCUUGUCCACAUUAUUCUUUUUUUCCCUCUAGCUAAAAUAGAGUGAUGAACAAUUAGGCAUUAUAAAUAGAGAAUUUGCUUUUAGUAGAUCAAAUUGUGAUUUAUUUUUUGAUUUUUGGUUGCUUUCAUUGAAUCUUUUAAUGUAUUUAGUUGAUUUUAAUUCUUAAAUUAAUGUAUACUUGAUUUGUUUCACCUUUACAAUUCAUUACAAUUUUAUCGUGUAUAAUAUAUUCUUUUCAAAUAUUAACUUUUAUACAUAAUCCUAAUUUAUUGUACACAAAUUAGUAUAUAUCGUGUUACUAGUUAUGUAUUGGAUAUACAAAUAUUACAAAUUUCAUUUUCUUUUACUACCAAUACAUACACCCAACUUUAUUCAACUAGUAGAAGACUAUUAUUUCUAGGGAAAAGGGUCCGAUAUACCCUCAACUUUAUCAUUUAGAGCUCAUAUACCCCUUGUUAUGAAAUUGACUCAUAUAUACUCCUACUUGUAAACAAAUGGCUCAAAUAUAUCCUUUUCCUUUAACGGAAAUGAAAAAAAAAUAAUUUUAAUCUAAAUUUUUAUUAUUUUUUUUCUAAAAAAAUAUAAUCCCAUAUAAGUAAAUUUAAUGCUCGUCAAAUAUAUUUUUUUGACUUUUUUUUGUUUCAAUGACUAAUUUAUAAUUAUUCUUUUGAUAAUCAAAUUUAUUUAUGUUUCAUUAAUAUUCUUGUAAAACUUAUUGUAGAUGACCAAAUUUUUUCUUCGAAUACGAAAUUAAAUUACAAAACACACAAAAAAAAUAGUUUAAUUUUUUAUUCUUUAAACUAAGGAAUGAAAGAAAAAGCAAAAUAAGAAUAAGAAAUUCAAAUAAUUAUAAUAAAAGAAGUCAAAAAAUAAUUUAUGUAUGAAAAAAAUUAAAAUAUACUUUGAACUUUGAUAGAAGAAUCAUAUAUACCCCUAAAUUUUUUUUUAAAAAAAAAUUAGAAGUAAUAAAUAUAAAUUUAAAACUAAUUUUUUUAAAUUCGUUAAAUGAAGGGUAUAUGUGAGCCAUUUCGUAAUGGCAGGGGUAUAUGUGAGCCAUUUGUAUAACGGUAUGGGCAUAUAUGAGCCACUUUUAUAACGAGGGGUAUAUCAGCUCCAAAUGACAAAGUUGAGAGGUAUAUCAGACCUUUUUCCCUUAUUUCUAAAAUGAAAGUCUAGAGUUCGCUUGAAUUGACUUAAAAGUUGAUCAAAUCUACUUUUAAAGUCCUGUUUUAUUUUUUAUUUUUGAGAGUUUUGACAAAGCAGAAAAUAACUUAUAAUAAGUUAGAGAUGACUUUAAAAAAAAGUUAAAAAUUACAAGUAGCUACUUCCUUACUUUUCAUUUUUUAACUUAAAAGUUACUAAAGUUUAACUUUUAAAAAAAUAAGGAAAAAAGUCUGAAAUAUAUAUCAACUUUGACCGAAAUUAUAUUAACGAUAUCAAACUUUGGAAAUGACCUUUUACCCCUGUACUAUUUAAUAGUGUAUUUUAAAGGUAUAUAUGUAUCCACGUGAACAUCACAAAUAUUCCAUCAUUAAAAAUAGAAAGUCAUCAUAAAAUUUGAUAUGUAACAAUAAUUUCGACCAAAAUUGAGAUAUUUUUCAGACCCUUUUUUCAAAAAAUACUUUUUAUGACAAGAAAGUACCUGGGAUGUUGAGUCGUUGACGCUAAACUUAUUAUUAAUAUGACAAGAAAAAAUAGUCCUAUGAGUUUCCUGGAAAAUACAUUGUAAUUAAUUCACAUGGGCACUUUUUAUUUUUUUUUAAACAUAUUGUGGCCAACUGAGAAAUUAUAGUUAGGAUUUUAAAUUGGAUUUUUAUUUCAUAUAUCCAUUUAAAAAUAAUUCAAUAUACUCCAUAACUAUAAUUUGAUAAUUACGAUUUGUAGCUAUAUAUAAGAGGGAGGAGAGAGGCGAGCGAGUGAGAUUGGGAGAGGGAGGAGAGAGACGAAUUGUAUAGGUCUAUCUAUCGAACUGUAUAAGUCUAUCUAUUAAAUAAUUAUAUAUUUAUAGCUGGUAUACGCAUGUACUUGUAUAUCUGGUGAGCGAGAUUGGGAGAGAGGCAAGUGAUAGAGGGUAGAGAGUGGAGAGAGACGAACUGUAUCUGUAUAGCUGUCAGAGGCAGAGAAUGGAGAGAGACUAACUGUAUUUGUAUAAUUGUAAUUAUUGUAUAUAUAUAUAUAUAUAUAUAUAUACUAGUUUUCGAAACGUGCGUUGCACGUUUGCCUUAUACAAUUAUUAUAAAGUUGAAUUAUUAUAUAAUGUUGAAAUUAGAAAUAUUAGUUUUACCAAUUUAUAUUUUAUUUAUUAAAUAAAAUUCAUAAUAAUCGAAUAGUACAUUGACCAUCAAACAAGAAUUUUUUUAAAAAUAAAUAUAUUAUUAUAGCAUCUAAUAAUAUGAAUAUAUCUGUAUAACUUAUUCUUAAUAAUCUCUCAUUACUCUCCAUAUUAGUAAGUACACAAAUGUGUAGCUACUUAAAGAAACUAUAUUAGUAAGGAAAGACAAAAGUAAAUAAAUAUUAUAAAAGUAUAUUUAAAAAUGAAUCUAAAUGUCAUAAAUUAGUAAUUUCAGCACUAAUAAAAAUAGCUUAUAACAUUCAUAAUUUCAUAGAAGAUUAUAUUAAAGAAGUAUAAUCGGUAAAGAAUACAAAAAAAAUUAAACAAAUAAGAAUAAAUACAACAUUUAUAUCCUUCUUAAGACUUUUAAUAUAACAAUAUAUAUAGUAAAAGAAAUACACAAGGAGUAAAAAAAUUUUCUCCCGUAACAAAAAAAAAACAAUCUAAAAUAGUAAAGAUAAAAUUUAUGAUUCAAAAUAUCAUUCUAAUGAGGAUCAAUAAAUAUUAAUAUUUCAAAACAAAAAAAAAGUACCUGUAAAUUGCAUAAUAAUUCACAUCAACACGAGGCAAAUGGUAAAGAGCAAUUAUUUUUAAAUGAUACAUAUAUAUAGCUAAAGAUUUAUUGGAUAAGAUGAAAAGGUGAAAAGUUGUUUAAGUUAAUUUUAGAAGUUGAAUGAUCUUACACAUGCGGUAGAGGAAAGGUGAUUGUUUUUACUAAUAAUUCAAUACAUUUAAUUAUACUAAUUACAGAGAGAGGAUAACAAAUUUAAUCAUUUAACCACAUUAAUUAUAGAGAAAGAAUUAAUAACUUUUAUUUAUUUUUUUUAAAAAGUAAUUCCUAACAAUUUUCUAUGAAAUAAUUUCUAACAAUUUUCUAUAAAAUAUUUUUGUCUUUCAAAGUUUGACUUUACACCUUCUUAGUUUUAGUAUAAUAUAAUUAUUACUUAGUAUGUAAAUAAUUAGAAUUUAAACUAUUGUGUCUAGAUGCAUGUAUUUAAAUAUGAUUAUAUAAUAUUAAAUUAAUUAUAUAUUAAUAUUUAAUUUAAUUUAGGGAUAAAAUAAGGACAAAAUGGUAAUUCAACUUUUAAGUUAAGAGCUUCCCACUUAUAAUAAUAAGAGUAUAUGUUAUAUCAUAAAAAAAAUCAUCUAGCAGACUAAGUACAAAUAUGUCAUAAAUAUUUUCUUGGAUAGCUUAAUAUAUAGAGGUUGUGAAUAUAAUCGAAGACAUCUAUAAUCUUUUUCAACACAUCGCAUUAGUACCAAUUUAUACUCUAUCAAUAGUUAUUUCUCCAAACUCAAAAGAGAAUUAAAAAAAAUUAUAAAAAUAUUGAACCAAUGAUUUCUAUAAUCUGGCCAUGAACAAAAUUACACUAAUAACUUAUCUUUUAAGUCUAGCAGGGCACUCUUAUAAUCAAAGGUUCUGAUACCAUCAUUCUGCUAUCGAAAAAGAAAAGCAUAUCAAAGAAAACAUAAGAAUUUUCAGAAUGUUCAUUGAUGUAUUUUUUUUUUGUACCCACAAAAUAAGAAUAUGCAAAAAUGAAACAAAAAGAAAAGAAAUAAUACAUACUUACUGGAGUAUCUCCGAUGAACAUAUGAAAUUAGGAAGAUGGUAGAUUAGAUUUUUGAAUGAUUAACAUAGAAUACACACAAUAUAUUAUAGUAAAUGAGACUCUUUGUUUCCCUUGUCUGUUAUGCCUUUUCAGUUGCAUCAUUUAAAUAUGUCUUCAUUAUUAUAUGAUAGAAUUACUGAAGGCUGAAACUAAUAAUUAUAUAUGGUAAUUAAGAUACUAUAAAUUAAAAGUUUUAUAUUUAAUAUUAAAAAAUAACUCCAAGAAAUUGAACAAAUUACAAAAAAAAAAAUCUCAUUAAAAUAUUUUUCUCACCUAUUAAAGCAUCAAAUUAGAAUUAAGGAAACAUAAAUCAACACAUAUAAACAAAUUAACAAUUAAUUAAUUUAUAAAUAGUCUAAGAGAUAAACUUCAAAAAAUUUAAACUAUUUAAAAAAAAUAAUAACAGGAAAACGUGUCUUUAAGAUAAUUAAACUUUAUUAUAUACUAAUAUUUUACUAAUAACCAAUUAGAUGAUUUUUACUAUUUCAAUGCAAGGACAAGGGUAAGACUUUUCAAAUUUAAAAAUUAAGAGUAAUUAAGUUAAAGACUAUAAAAUAAUUAGCAAUUUAUUUACUAAUAUUUAGUUACUUUGAUUAAGAUUUAGUAUAGGGGCAAAAUAGUAAUUCAACGUUUGCUUAACAUUCUUCCCACUUAUUCACAUUACAUGUUUAUUUUUGCAUGUCUGCUUAACGUCUGAAGCAGGAUCAGUAAGCAAAUCAUAACUCUUGUAAAUUUUAUUGCCUUUAUUCUUCACUUCUUUAGUAAGUGAAACAUGUACAAUCUUACACAAAUUCGUGUUAUUUACUUUCAAGUUGCAGAGUAGGAAAUUACCUUGGAUCUAAAAGAAAUUCCGUUGGAAUAUAAUUGAUUCCUACUCUCAAAUCUGUUGCAGCACCAAGUUCAAUUAUUUUGAACGCGCAACAACCUGCUUCAGAGAGACAUUAAUUACAACUUACAAGUACGCAAUCAAACUCAACCAUUGUGAAUCAGGUCAGCACUUUGUUUUUUAAAUAAUAUGUAUAUCCAUACGCCUAUGCAGUUUAUGACAGAGCACUUUCAGUUGCUGAUCUAAAACCUUGGUAGGAUCAAUCUGAACCUCAAGGUUUACUCAUUUUUUCCCCUUGAUUUGUUGACUUUCAACGUUUAAUUCUUUGUUCGAUGUUAAUUUUUACACAUAUUAGUACACACACAUACUGUUGAAUAGUACAAUAGAAUGUAGGAUUUUCAACAUAGUUUAACUGUCCUUCAAUGUCUUUAACUCCUGCUGUUGUUCUUUGUUAAUGAUCAUAAAAAUUCCGAAAUCACAUUAAGCCAUAUUAUAAUGAAGAGACAGAAUGUGUUUUGGAGAACCAAAACACAAAAAUGAUUGAAAAGAGCAACAGAAUAGAGAAUUGACUCAAACUCUUCUUCUACUGCUUCUUUGUUCCCUAAAACAAACAAAAAAAAACAGAACUGUCAACAACUCCAUUGCACAAUUGCUUUGUGAAAACUCGAAUACUGGCCUCCAUCUCAUUCAUAAAAAGUUUAUAUUUGCAAUUAGCAGCAAAACAGAGCAAAACCAAAGCAUUAACAUCAAAAAUUGACUGUAACUAUUAGGCAACAAAAACAAAGCACCAAAAAUAUUUACCUGUAUACUGACACGCCUUCUCUCGCCACUUCGAAGACCUUUCAUGCAGCGAUGUCCACCAAACUCCUUUUCUGACAAAGAAAACCAGGAAGCUGAAGCAAUGCUGAGUAGUAGAGGUAUUCACGGACUGUCAAUGUUCCAAUAAGAGUAGUUUCUCUGUCAACAAAUCCCAGCAGCCAAAAAGUUCCAUAUCAAAAGGCAGAGCUCAUGAUAAAGAAUAGCUAAGUUCCUCAUCCAAAAAUAUUUACCUGUAUAUCAUCCAGACACAAAAAGAGAAACAAUUUAAUGGACAAUAACAUGUGAUUUGAGACAUUUAUACAGAUGAUGAGAGUAGCUAAAAAGGUUUUGGAAGAAGAUGAUGAAACUUCAUAAUCGUCAGAAGAGAAGUGGAGCAGAUGACCGUUUCUGAAUAAUUAAAUUAGGCUGUUAGGAAAUUAAAUUUAUAAUAAUCAAUAUUAAUAGGUUUAACUAAUAUAGGGUUAAUAGGUUUAACUAAUAUAUUUAAUAAAUUAAUAUAUAAAUGAUAUUGUAGGGUUAAAAUGGUAAAUCAACUUUGGAGUUAAGAGGUUCAUGCUUACAAUAAUACUAGUUUCCGAAAACGUGCGUUGCACGUUUAUCCUAAAAUACUUCGUACAAUGUUUGUAGUGCAAAUAAUAAAUUUAAACAAUAUAUAUAUAUAUAUAUAUAUAUAUAUAUAUAUAUAUAUAUAUAUAUCAAGAAUUAACUAUUAUGCAUUUCAAUCACAUUUGUUACCGACCCAAAGGUAUAUAUGUACAUUUCACAAAUUUCGUCAAUAAUUCAUUUCCUCGUAAAUUUAAAAAAUAAUGAAGUUACAGUGGUUCAUCAACUUAUAAGACACCAUUGGUUCUCUUCAUCUUCAUUUUUAUUCUCUUCAUGUUCAUUUUUUUCUUUCUUUAAUUUUUUUGUUAGUGAGUUGGAUUCACUUGUACAGAAUCACAUCAACUUUUUAUCUUGUAGGAUAUUUAUUGAUUGUCAUGGAUGUAGUGAUAAAGCUAGAAGUCUUUCUUCUUGUCCUUGUGUAAAAGAUUUUUUUUUGGAUAAUCCAAUUAAGUGUACCGUCUCAACUUCUAUAAAAUAAUUUUUAUUUAAAAAUCAAACCAAAAUUUUAUUAAGAACAUAUCAACUUACACAAAAAUAAUUAAUUGCAUAUAAGGAACAAUAAUUUAUUACCUGAAAAUUGAUACCACUUGAAAUAGUUCAAUCUGUGUUGCUUCACUUACUGCAUCAUCACUAUGAAAUAUUAGCGUCAUUUCUUAAUUGUAUCUUCAUAAAAAAAAAGUCAAUUUAAAAAAUUUAUUAGUAGUUGAAAUAUUCAACAAUUUAGAUGAGUUCAAAUAAAGAUAAAUAAAACAUUGAGCAUAACAAACUCAUAUAAAAAAAAUAAAUAAAGAUAACAUGAUUACAUGAGAAAGUAUAAUAUAUAAUAUAGGAAAUGGAGAAUCUGCUAAUAGAAGAUAAAAACGUUACAAAUUAAGUGAUCCAAGAAGUGACAUUUUGAUAUCUUUAGACUAACUGGCUAACACCUUAAUAUGAGUUUUCUUUUUUUUAAAUAAUAACAAUGGUUUAAAGAGCAUAAUAAAAGUAGGUAACUUAAAAGGAUAAAUCAUUAUUGCUUUAUUUUUUAAAUUAUUAAUUCCAAUGCAUGUAUACUUUUUUAUCUAGUAAAAUUUUAUCUAGAAAUUAAUUAUGAAUGCUUUCGCUCUUCCACCUUCCGAGGAUAUUAAAUGGUUUUUAGUGCAUUCAGCUUAUCAAUAAUGAAGAACGAUAAAUUUGCACUUCAAAGCUGAAUUUGGUUUUUAUUAUGUUAUUAAUUUCAGUAAGUAUAAUUUAAUAAUAUCAUAUGAACUAAUAUUUAAAAAUAAUUAACUAUUAUAGGAAUACAAUGGUGAUUCAACUUUGCAUUUUGGAGCUUCACACUUAUACCCAUGAGUGUAUUAUUUCUUAAAAGAUAAUAAAAUAUAUCUAAUUGAGAUUUCUUACUUUGUUUUACUACUAAUUAUGAUACUCCAAUUUUCUGACCUUGCGUCUCAUGUUAGUCUAUGUUGACUCAUUUGAAUAUAUAUAUAUAUAUAUAUAUAAACCUAAAAAAAUUUAACAAGUUAAGUUAGGCUUGCACAAUGUUUAGAGUGUUUAUUGUUUGUAUUUUAAAGAACAAAUAUGUGCUAUAUGUAACAAAUAUUAUGAUAUUUUAUAUUUAAUAUAAUAUUUAUUACGAUUAUAAUUAUAUUUAAUUUUAUCUUUCAUAAAAUUAUAAUAUUAGUAUGCAAUAAAAUAAUUAUUGCUUUUGAAGGCCCUCAAUAUGAUGAUGGGUUGCUAGAAAUUUGAUAUUGAAGAAUGAUAUAUAUAUACAUGUGCAUAUAAGAAUAACCUCUUCUUUAUCUAUAGUAAAUUUAUAAGUGGUUAGAUAUUUAAAAUGUGAUUUCUCGUACUCAGAUAUAAGAUAAUUUCUCAUUAUUUUAAACUGUAAUCCCCUUCUUCACUUUACAAAAUUAAAAAUCGUUUAUGAGUGACACCCCUUCAAUAUUUAUGAUGUCAUAAUGAUCCAACACUUGAAAGCGGUAAAAGUUAUUUAAAACUCUCAUCUGAGGUUGCAGAUUUGUUAAUUUGGAGAAUCAUAGUUAAAGUAUGAAUUUUUAGAAAUUGUUAGAUUAGUUUAAUUUUUAAUUAUAUUUCUAUUUUAUAAAGUUUUUAUUGAACUACUAAUAGAUAUUAAAAUUGAAACACGAUUAUCAUGUUAUGUUUUGUAAGAACUAUAUUUAAUCAAAUUAAAUAAUUAAAAAAUUCUUUAUAAUGAGAUUUAAGAAUAAUAGAAAAUUUCAAAUUGCGCUUUAAAAAAAUAGUUCUUAAUCAUGAGCACAAGCUUAUUAUUUAAAUCACAAAAGACGAUUUUCUCAUUGCCUAAUUAAUAAUUGAUUCCUCAAAUAGAAACUAAAACACAUUAUACAAUCUACAAGUAAUAAUUUUCUUUAAAAUGAAAAUUGUCAGACCAAAAAUAAUAUAACAUGCAACCAAAGCUAAACAAAAUUAAUUAGCAUUGCAUCAAACGGUUGGUUAAAUGUGAUUUAUACUCCUAGCGAUAUAUUAUGUUAACAGUUGAGUAUAUAUAUUAGAUCAAAACAUCUUCAAUUACAAACUUCGAUUGCAAUUUCUUAAUAAUUUUCUUUUGAUCUCAUGACAUGUUAAAAACAACAGAAGAAAAUGAUAUUUAAUAUGAUAACAAUGAAUUUUUUUAAAUAAGAGUAAUUAUACAAAAAAAAAAUUCAUCUAAAGCAUGAAUAUAAUACGGAAAUUAAAAUUGAUUUCAACCUUCGGGAAGACUUGAACAUCCCUUCUGUCGUUGUAAACUCCAUUAGAAGAUCUAACAAUUUGUACACAUUUCUUUUCUAUAAACAACAAAUGAAGAUAAGGAAAAUUAGUAAUCAGUGUUAUGAACAGAAGCUAAAAGUGACUUAAAUAUAUACUAAAGGAUAAAAACAAUAGAAAUAUAGAAUUUUUUUUUUAAUUUCUUCCAAACUGUACCUAAAUAUCUUCAAAGUGUAUAGAUUGUUGUGUCAAAUACCGCAAUUUAUAGGACAUCAUUGAGUAAAAUCAAAAGUCUCAUAAUUAUGCCAUCAACUUCUUGAGAGUGUGGAAAGAUUAUGAAGGUGUGAAUAUUAAUGAUGAGAUAGUGAAGGUGUGGUAUUAAUACACAUUAUGACAAAAUUAAACCUAAAACUGAUCAGAUAGAGAAAUGAAAAGUUUCUCUAAUACAUUUACGUAAUAACUUUAUAAUUAAUUAUUUUUACAACUAUUCAUUCUCCUACUUUAUUUUAACAAUAAGUGAAUCAACUUAAUUAACAAUUUAAGCAUAUUUAAAAUUUAAUUAAUUAAUUAUUUUAUAAUAUUUUAAGUUAGUAUAAGGCUAAAAUGGUAAUUCAAGUGAAUCAACUUAAUUAACAAUUUAAGCAUAUUUAAUAUUUAAUUAAUUAAUUAUUUUAUAAUAUUUUAAUUUAAUAUAAGGUUAAAAUGGUAAUUCAACUUUUAAGUUUUGAGCUUCAUGCUUAUAAUAAUAAUAAUAAUAUAUAUAUAUAUAUAUAUAUAUAUAUAUAUAUAUAUAUAUAUGUAAUUUAUAUUUGUGUAUAUAUAAGUGACAUAAUUACAACUAAAAUUUAGCUGCAUGUCAUAAUUUAUUAGAACUAUAUUAGCUAAUUAACUAGUAUACCUUACUUAUCCGUUCCUUUUUUUUAAAAAUAAUUUGUACAUAUUUUUUUUAUUAGUUUGUUAAAGCAAAUAUACUAUUUGAACAACUAUACAUGUCAAAUGUCCACGCAAGUCCAAUCUCCAUGUAACACGUUUCGUCUUGCAAAGAAAUUAAAUUAACCUAAACUUUAGAUUUGUUUUUAUUUUUUUUUAACUCGAUCAACUCAAAUCUUCUUUGAACCUUCCAAUUUUAUAUAUGAACUCAUCUCAUAUUUCAAGUCUAUUGAUAUAUUAUACGUUCAAGAUAUUUACGUUUGUGACACAUCAAAUUUUAAAAAUUUGAGUUUCAAAGCUCUUUAUAAGUUAAAGUGCUCGGAUGGAUGACUACUAAAAUUGAUUCUUGGAAGAAGGAUCUUGAAUAGAUGCGUGUCUUUGAGAACAUGCAUUGCAAUUUCAUUUAGACAAAAUAUUUGCAACUUUUUAUUACCAAGUGAUUUUACAGUAAAAAAUUUGUAUAUGGAAAGAUGUUCUUUGUAUCCAAAUAUAAUUAAGCAAAUUUACAGAGGAUGGUCUUCUGGAAAAUCUACAAAUUUCAUAGAAUAAAGUUCAGUUUAACUAGUUUAUUCACGCCUAGUGAUUUAUAAAAAUAAACAAGUAAUUAGAGACAACUAAAAACAAUAAAAAAAUUGUAGACAAAUAGUUAGAGACAGUUAGAUUUAUUAAUUUUAACUAUGUUGUCCACAUUAUUCUUUUUCUCCACUAGCUAAAUAAAGUCAUGAGCAAAGAUGAAGUAUAAAUAGACAGUUGCAUCAAAGCAGAAAAAUUCAUCAAAUACAUUAUCACUUCAGCCAUGGGAUUCCUCAAAAUCUUUUUUGUUUUCAUCUUUUGUUCUUUCCCAUGGCCUACUAUUCAGAGUGAUUUCGAAACUUAUAUAGUCCAUGUUGAAUCCCCUGAAAGCCUAAUUACUACUCAAUCGUCGUUCAUGGAUUUAGAGAGCUAUUACCUUUCCUUUUUGCCUGAAACUAUGUCCGCAAUUAGUUCGAGUGGAAAUGAAGAGGCAGCCAGCAUUAUCUAUUCCUAUCACAAUGUGAUGACGGGGUUUGCAGCAAGAUUAACUGCAGAACAAGUGAAGGAAAUGGAGAAAAAACACGGCUUUGUCUCUGCUCAGAAACAGAGGAUUUUGUCCUUGCACACUACUCAUACUCCAAGUUUUCUUGGUUUGCAGCAGAACAAGGGUGUAUGGAAGGAUUCCAACUAUGGGAAAGGCGUGAUCAUCGGAGUUCUAGACACUGGAAUUAUUCCUGACCAUCCUUCUUUUAGCGACGUUGGGAUGCCUUCCCCGCCAGCUAAGUGGAAAGGAGUUUGUAAGUCCAAUUUCACCAACAAGUGUAACAACAAGCUCAUUGGAGCCAGGUCUUACGAACUUGGCAAUGCUUCCCCGAUAGAUAAUGAUGGACAUGGUACACACACAGCAAGCACAGCUGCGGGGGCUUUUGUGAAAGGUGCUAAUGUACAUGGCAAUGCUAAUGGAACUGCAGUUGGUGUUGCUCCUCUUGCCCAUAUAGCCAUAUAUAAGGUAUGUGGUUUCGAUGGAAAGUGUCCUGGCAGUGAUAUUUUAGCUGCCAUGGAUGCAGCUAUAGAUGAUGGAGUAGAUAUUCUUUCAAUCUCCCUUGGUGGAUCUCUGAGCCCUCUUUAUGAUGAAACUAUUGCUCUCGGGGCGUACAGUACAACACAAAGAGGCAUUCUUGUUAGUUGUUCUGCCGGAAAUAGUGGUCCAUCACCUGCCUCAGUAGAUAACUCAGCCCCUUGGAUUCUUACAGUAGGUGCCAGCACGCUUGAUAGAAAGAUAAAAGCUACUGUUAAGCUUGGAAAUGGAGAGGAAUUUGAAGGAGAAUCUGCUUAUCAUCCAAAGACUUCAAACGCAACAUUCUUCACUCUAUUUGAUGCUGCAAAAAAUGCAAAAGAUCCAUCCGAAACACCUUAUUGCAGACGAGGGUCACUCACUGACCCUGCUAUAAGAGGAAAGAUAGUAUUAUGCUUAGCAUUCGGCGGUGUUGCCAAUGUUGAUAAAGGACAAGCUGUGAAGGAUGCUGGAGGUGUUGGCAUGAUUGUCAUCAACCCAUCACAAUAUGGUGUCACUAAAUCAGCUGAUGCUCAUGUUCUUCCAGCAUUGGUUGUUUCAGCUGCAGAUGGAACAAAAAUUCGCGCCUAUACAAACUCAAUAUUAAACCCUGUUGCUACAAUCACAUUCCAAGGAACAAUAAUUGGAGAUAAAAAUGCUCCAAUAGUUGCUGCAUUUUCUUCUCGGGGACCAAAUACAGCUAGUCGUGGAAUCUUGAAACCUGACAUAAUCGGUCCUGGUGUUAAUAUCCUUGCUGCUUGGCCUACCUCCGUGGAUGGCAACAAAAACACCAAAUCCACAUUCAAUAUUAUAUCAGGCACCUCAAUGUCUUGCCCUCACCUUAGUGGCGUAGCAGCUCUGCUGAAGAGCUCACAUCCUGAUUGGUCUCCUGCUGUUAUUAAGUCUGCAAUCAUGACAACCGCUGACACAUUAAACCUUGCCAGUAGUCCAAUACUCGACGAAAGGCUCAGUCCUGCUGAUAUCUAUGCAAUUGGUGCAGGACAUGUUAAUCCAUCAAGGGCAAAUGACCCAGGACUAGUUUAUGAUACCCCAUUUGAGGACUAUCUACCUUAUUUGUGUGGUUUGAACUACACAAAUUCACAGGUAGGUAAAUUGUUGAAACGCAAAGUAAAUUGCUCGGAGGUUGAAAGUAUCCCUGAAGCACAAUUAAACUAUCCUUCAUUUUGCAUAUCGAGACUUGGAUCAACUCCUCAGACAUUCACAAGAACUGUGACCAAUGUUGGUGAUGCCAAAUCAUCUUACACGGUGCAGAUAGCUUCACCUAAAGGCGUUGUCGUGAAAGUUAAGCCCCGCAAGCUAAUUUUCUCGGAGUUGAAGCAGAAGUUAACAUACCAAGUGACAUUUUCCAAGAGAACCAACAGCUCAAAGUCUGGGGUCUUUGAGGGAUUCUUGAAGUGGAAUUCUAACAAGUACUCUGUGAGAAGUCCAAUUGCAGUUGAGUUUGCAUUGGCUACAAAGUAUUCAGACAUUUGAAAAUGCUGUUUGUUUACACAAUUAACUUUAUGUUACUUUUUUCAUAUAUAUUAUUAAAUGUAUUGUUUCAAUAAACUUUACGUUCUCAGCUGAUUGAAGAAUGCAAAAGCAUAUCCUCUUUGAUAUUAGUGACCAUGCCCUGCUCAACCUUUCUUCUUGAUUUCAUUUUUUUCAACAAAUAAAAUGACUUCUCGAGAUAAUAAAUAUUAGUUGAGUGACCGUAAAAGAAUCUCAGUUCAUAAUUAAGCACCCUUUGAUCCAGAAUCUUGACAGUGACUUCAAAAAUAAAGUCUUAGUCUUUGGUGACUUCAAACUUAUUAAUAAGACAAGAAAAAUAAUAGAGACAUAUCCUAUGAAUUUCCUGGAAAAACUGUUACGUUGUAAUGUUACGUAAACCCUUACAACUAGUUAAUAGAGUAAGGUUCGUUCAAAUCCUUAUAUAAAAAAAAAGAUUCUCAUUCUCAAUUAGCCCCUUUCUGCACCCCCAAUGAAAUGGAAUGAAUCAAGAAUUAAAGACAAAUAUGACUAAUAUAAUAAGAAAUGAAUUUGCCCUACCUAAAUCCUUACGAUUAGUUAAUAGAGUAAGGAUUGUUCAAAUCCAUAUGAAGAAGAAUUCAUUCUUAAUACUCGGCCUCAAAAUAACUCACGAGGAGGAGGGGCUUCUUAUGUAAAUGUACACCCGACAAAAAAAACUUUCUUACUAAAAUGGUCGUAGUAUAUGUAAUAUAUCGAUAUUUGUAUGAAUAAUGUAUAAUUAUGUAUAUAUAGUAUUUAUACAUUGUAUCAAUUCAUCUUCCUCAAUAAUGUGUUUUCUUGAAUCUUAAAUUCUUAACCAACUCAAAUCUUCUCUAAUCAUUCCAAACAGUUUUGUUGUUCGCUAGCUCUUAUUGAAUUGUAUAUCUUUUGUAUAUAUAUAUAUAUAUAGAAAAGAUUUGAUUAUGAUAUAGGGACUCAACACUUUAAGAGUUGAUGUUCAUUUGAUUCUCUAAAAAUAUGAAAUAGUGACACUUUCUUUAAGCAAAAGGAUAAAUUAUAAAAUCAAAUUAAAGAGGAUUGAUCGAAGAAUAACAUUAACUUGUUGAUGCUUAGCUUAUUCAUAUGAUGACCAAAAAAAAAAAAAAACUUCGAAUUUCCUGCAAAAGACGUUGUAAUUAAUUCACAUGGAUAUUUUUUAUUAACAUAUUGUGGCCAAAUAGACUUACUAACACAAAUAUAAUAUAAUAGUACUAAAUUAAUAUUCGGUAUAUUAAUAGUUUAUCCAAGACAAUAGGUUUUUUCAUGUCUUGAUUUGUGUCAAUGAAAAAAAUCACUCAUUUCAAUAUGAUAAUAUGACAAUAUAUUUUCAGAAGACCCUAUAUAAAUAUACUAUCCCACUAAUAUUAUCUUUAAAAAUAUGAAUAUAUCUAAGAUAAUUUAAGUGAAAUGUGAUUUUAUUAUCUUUCUUACAAAUUUAAAUCUAGUUAAAUUCAUGUCUAAUUUUUUUAUUGCAUCCAAAAAUUCUAGUGUUGUCACGACUACAAAUUAUCUUCCUGAGUGCGCCUCCUAUGUUGACACAUUUUAAAUGAGAAACCAUUUAUGCAUAUGGUUACAAAAAUUUCCUAUGUUGCUUAUAUAAUUUAUUCUCUCAUCAUCGUACAUUGAAUAUUUCUUGUGAAGAUACAUUGAAUAAUAUUUUGUUAUUAAGAAACAAUGACCAUUAUAUAUAGUGAAUUUGUUUUUACGAUGAAUCACUGAAUUUUUGAAUUUAUUUUAUAAUGAAUCAUUAAAAAAAAAUAUAUAUAUUACCGUGAUUCAUACAUAUACAUUGUACUUUGUGUAUAAUGAUUUUUUUUUAAAUAUAAGUUCAAUAAAUAUAAUGUAUAAUUUAGUAAGAUAUAAUGAUUUUGAUAUAUUCACUGUACUUACUAUAUAUAAUAAAUUUAUUUCUUAUGUGAAUUCAAUAAAUAUGAUACAUAAAUUAAUAAGAUAUAAUUAUUUUAAUGUAAUCAAAGUUGACCUUCAUUGAAUCUCAAAAACACUCUUUAAUUAAUAAAUAUUAAUUUAUGAAUUAAAUAAUACCUUUGUAGAAUAACAAUAUUUUAUGAUCUCACAUAUAUUAAUUUAAUGAGAUUUUAAGGUAUGCGAGCAAAAUCUACUAAAUUCGAUCAAAUCUGCGUGCAGGUUACUAGCUCUACCCUUCACGUUAUACCAACUAUAUAUGUCAAAUGUCCACGCAAGUCCAAUUGAAGGAGAGCAAUGUACAUCAUCCAUCAUUCACGUUUUGUCUUGCAAAUAAAUUAAAUUAACCAAUUUUUAUUUUAGUAUUUAAAAUUAACCAAUUUUAGUUUUAUAAUUAAUAUUUUUAAUCUCGACCAACUGAAAUCUCCUAUGAGCACCUCGAAUUUUAAAUUUGAGCUCCUCUCAAUAUUUCAAGACUAUUAAUAUAUUAUUCGUUCAAAAUAAUUGAUGACUAUUGAAAUUAAUUCUCGGAAAAGGAUCUUGAAUAGUUACAUGUUCAUGCAUUGCAACUUUAUUUAGACAUAAUAUUUGCAACUUUUUAUUACAAAGUGAUUUAACAGUUAAAAUUUGUAUGGUAAAAAGAUGUUCAUAUAAUUAAGCAAAUUUACAGUGGAAAGUCUUUUGGAAAAUCUACAAAUUCAUAGAAUAAAGUUCAAUGUAACUUUAGUUUCAUUCACUCUUAGUGGCCUUUCUUUUCUUUUCCUUUAAGUAUUAAUUUUAAUUUUCUUGUCCACAUUAUUCUUUUUUUCCACUUGGAAUAAAAUAAUGUCAUGAGCAAAGAUGAAGUAUAAAUAGACAGUUGCAUCAAAGCAGAAAAAUUCAUCAAAUACAUUAUCGCUUCAGCCAUGGGAUUCUUCAAAGUCCUUCUUGUUCUCAUCUUUUGUUCUUUCCCAUGGCCGACUAUUCAGAGUGGUCUCGAGAUUUAUAUAGUCCAUGUUGAAUCCCCUGAAAGCCUGAUUUCUACUAAAUCAUCGUUAACGGAUCUAGACAGCUAUUACCAUUCUUUUUUGCCUAAAACUACUACCGCAAUUAGCUCGAGUGGAAAUGAAGAGGCUGCUACCAUGAUCUAUUCCUAUCACAAUGUGAUGAAAGGAUUUGCAGCAAGAUUAACAGAAUCUCAUGUGAAGGAAAUGGAGAAGAAACGAGGCUUUGUUUCCGCUCAGAAACAGAGGAUUUUGUCCUUGGAUACUACUCAUACUCCAAGUUUUCUUGGUUUGCAGCAGAACAUGGGUGUAUGGAAGGAUUCCAACUAUGGAGAAGGCGUGAUCAUCGGAGUUAUAGACACUGGAAUUCUUCCUGACCAUCCUUCGUUUAGUGAUGUUGGAAUGCCUCCUCCGCCUGCUAAAUGGAAAGGAGUUUGUGAGUCCAACUUCAUCAACAAGUGUAACAACAAGCUCAUAGGAGCGAGGUCUUACCAUCUUGGCAAUGGUUCCCCGAUAGAUGGUAAUGGGCAUGGUACACACACAGCAAGCACAGCUGCGGGAGCUUUUGUGAAAGGUGCUAAUGUAUAUGGCAAUGCUAAUGGAACUGCAGUUGGUGUUGCCCCUCUUGCCCACAUAGCUGUAUAUAAGGUAUGUAGUUCUGAUGGCGGUUGUUCUGACAGUGAUAUUUUAGCUGCCAUGGAUUCAGCUAUAGAUGAUGGAGUAGAUAUUCUUUCUAUAUCCAUUGGUGGAUCUCCCAACUCUUUCUAUGAUGACCCUAUUGCUCUUGGGGCAUACAGUGCAACGGCAAGAGGUGUUUUUGUAAGUUGUUCUGCAGGUAAUAGAGGCCCUUUGCUUGCCUCAGUUGGAAAUGCAGCCCCUUGGAUUCUUACAGUAGGUGCCAGCACGCUUGAUAGAAAGAUAAAAGCUACUGUUAAGCUUGGAAAUGGAGAGGAAUUCGAAGGAGAAUCUGCUUAUCGUCCACAGAUUUCCAACUCAACAUUCUUCACUCUAUUUGAUGCUGCAAAACAUGCAAAAGAUCCAUCGGAAACCCCUUAUUGCAAACCAGGGUCACUCAAGGGCCCUGUUAUAAGAGGAAAGAUAGUAUUAUGUCUAGCAGGCGGUGGCGUCUCCAGUGUUGCUAAAGGAAAAGUUGUGAAGGAUGCUGGAGGUGUUGGCAUGAUUGUCAUCAAAACAUCACAAUAUGGUGUCACUAAAACAGCUGAUGCUCAUGUUCUUCCAGCAUUGGAUAUUUCAGAUGCAGAUGGAUUAAGAAUUCGUGCCUAUACAAACUCAAUAUUAAACCCUGUUGCUACAAUCACAUUCCAAGGAACAACAAUUGGAGAUGAAAAUGCUCCAAUAGUUGCUGCAUUUUCUUCUCGGGGACCAAGUAGAGCUAGUCCUGGAAUCUUGAAACCUGACAUAAUCGGUCCUGGUGUUAACAUCCUUGCUGCUUGGCCUACACCCGUGGAUGACGACAAAAACACCAAAUCCACAUUCAAUAUUAUAUCAGGCACCUCAAUGUCUUGCCCUCACCUUAGUGGUGUAGCAGCUCUGCUGAAGAGCGCACAUCCUGAUUGGUCUCCUGCUGUUAUUAAGUCUGCAAUCAUGACAACGGCUGACACGUUAAACCUUGCCAAUAGUCCAAUACUAGACGAAAGGCUCCUUCCUGCUGACAUUUUUACCACUGGUGCAGGACAUGUUAAUCCAUCGAGGGCAAAUGAUCCAGGACUAGUUUAUGAUACCCCAUUUGAGGACUAUGUACCUUAUUUUUGUGGUUUAAACUAUACCAAUCGAGAGGUAGGUAAAAUGUUACAACGUCAGGUGAAUUGUUUGAAGGUGAAAAGUAUCCCUGAAGCACAAUUAAACUAUCCUUCAUUUUCCAUAUUCAGACUUGGAUCAACUCCUCAAACAUAUACCAGAACUGUGACCAACGUUGGUGACGCAACAUCAUCUUACAAAGUGGAGGUAGCUUCACCAAAAGGCGUUGCCGUGGAAGUUAAGCCCACAGAGCUCAAUUUCUCUGAGUUGAACCAGAAGUUAACAUACCAAGUGACAUUUUCCAAAAGAACCAACAGCUCAAACUUUGUGAUUGUUGAUGGAUUCUUGAAAUGGACUUCUAAUAGGCACUCAGUGAGAAGUCCAAUUGCAGUUGUGUUAGCCUAAUCAAAAAUUGGCUUUAUAAGUGCAUAAGGACAUUUGAUUGUAGUGAAAAUGCUGUUUGUUUUCACAAUAUAUUUUAUGUUACUUUUACAUUAUUAAUUGUAUAUUUACAGCUGAUUGAAAAAUACAAAAGAAUAUCCUCUUUGAUUAAUGCACAUUAAUUUCUAUUAGUGGCCAUGCCCUGCUCAACUUUUCUUCUUCAACUAGACAAUAGCAAGCACGAGCCUUAGGUAAAUAAAUAUGAUUAUAAUUCAAUUAAUUUAAAUAAUAAUUAUUAAAUUGAAUUCAUUUAAUUUGAAUAUGAUUUGUUAUAGUUCUAUAAUUUGAAUUUAAGUCAAUGGGUUGAUGAGUGCUUAAUCUUUCAUAAAAUGAAGGGUUCAAAUUUUAGUAGCGUUUUAUUCUUAACAUUAAUUACUUCUAAAUUAUUUUCCAAGAAUUAAUACUUGUUAGAAACAAUAAUUGGAAAUGUGAUUGACGAAGAAGAGACAUUCAUCGUAUACAUAUUGGAAAAUACAAACAAAUCCCUCUUCGAUACAAUAAAAUCCUAUAUUUAUACAUGCAAUUUUUUCUUAUACUACUUAUAGAGAGUCUUUAUUAUAUUUGUAGAAUUUAAGAGAUGACUUUUCAUAAGAGUCAUGUUUUUUCAUGAAUAUAUGACUUUUCAUAAUAGUCAUGUCCUUUCAUGAUCAGAUGAUUUUCAUAAGAAUCAUGUUCUUUCAUGAUGUGUCAAUUUAAUAUAAAAAUUCUACAUUACAAAAAAUUCAACAAUACUAACAUCAAUUAUUAGGAUUAUUAAUGUGGUAAAAUAGUAUUAGAAAAAAUAAUCUUCAAUAGUCAUAUCAAGCAUUGUUUUCUUAAUAGAUAUGUCAAGUUCAAAUGUGAUAAAUGAAAAGUAGAUUAAACUAAAAAGUAUUAAAAGAGUUAAAAGAUUUAAAUUAAUAAAUACACUCUUUUUGUUUAGGAUUUUUUUAAAAGUGUGUAAAUAAAAUAUAAACUAAUAAUAUGAAGGAAUAGAUUCAUUAAUAAUUGUGCACAGAUAAUUUCUCUCUUAAUAUUAUGCACAUAUGGAAUAAACCAAAAAAAAAAAGUUUUAAAAUAUAACAACUAAUCAUGAAAUGACAAAGCACACAUUUUGAUACCUCAAAUUUAAACUCACUCUUCUAUUAUAGUAAAUUUCAUUAUUUUCAACAAAUAAAGUUCUUAGUCUUUGGUGACUUCGAAAAUUAAUUAGAACAUUAAUGCUUAACUUUAUCAAUAAGACAGGAAAAAUAAUAGAGACAAUAUCCUAUGAAUUUUCCUAGGAAAAACAUUUGUAAUAAUUCAAAUGAAAUGUUGCUAUUCGUGUGUUGCCCCUCAUGUACUAGUGGCAUUAUUUUAUACUUUUAGAAAUAAAUUUGCACUGCCUAAACCCUUACUACUACUUAAUAGAGAAGGAUUGUUCAAAUGCGUAUAAUAAAUAUUCUUAUUCUUAAUUAUCCUUUUUUUGUACGAUCAGUGAAAUGGAAUGAAUCAAGAAUUAGGACGAAUAUGAUUCUAAUGUAAUAAGAAAUGAAUUUUGGAAUUUUCCCUACCUAAACCCUUACAAUAAUUGAUAGAGUAAGGAUAGUUCAAAUUCGCAUAAAAAAAUAUUUUUUUUCUUAAUUAACUCCUUUCUGCACGCUAAAUGAAAUUGAAUGAAUAAAAAGUAUGAAUGGAUUUGACUCAAUAUCAUAAUAAUAAUAAUAAUAAUAAUAAUAAUAAUAAUAAUAAAAACUUAACUUAGUCCUAAAUCGACCUCAAAAUAGCUCAUUAAGAGUCACUGCCCAAGAUCGUAAGGGAGGGCUUCAUGCAAUGUAUCAAUCUUGUAUAAUUAUGUAUAUAUGAUGUAUAACUAUGUAUCAGAGAUGUAUAUACAUCCAUAUACUCUGUUUGUACAAUGUUUAUGCAUUGUAGUUCAUCUUCCUCAACAAUGUGUUUUCUUGAAUCUCAACCAAUUCAAAUCUUCUCUAAAUAUGACUCAACACUUUAUGAACGUGCAUAAUUUUAUGCAUAUCGUGCCUCUACGGUAUACAAAAACGAACAGAAAACCGAACCAAAUCGCAAAUCGAGUUAACCCCCCAAAAAAACCCGAUUAGUGGUUUGGAAUUGAAAAAAAAAAUUGACUGUAUUUGGUUUUAACUAGAAAAAAUCAACUCGACAUUAUAUAUGUUAUUUUAAAUUUAUUUUAUGUAUAAAAAUAUUUACUUUGAUAUGAUUUUAAAAUAUUUUUUGUAUUUUUUCAUAAUUUUAUAAAUUUAAUAUACUUAGAAUUUGAAAUGUCCAACAACUAUUAUAGUUCAUAGAUGUUGAUAAUUAUAAUAAUACUUAAAUCAUAAUUAAAUUUAUAAUAAUGCAAAAAGAAAAUCAAUUCAACACUAAGAAUGACAAUAAUAUUGAAAAUUUGUUCUUUAGUUUUACAUUAGUUUAGAUAAUUAACAUACAUAGUUAAUUCUAAUUUUUCUUAAAUAGUUAGUAAUGUAACUAAUACUUAUUAAACUUAUUUUAACAUGAUUUAAUACUUUCAAAUUACGAUCAUUUUCAUUAUGACUUUACAAUAUUUAUUUUGUAUGAUGAUUUCAUUAUUAUUUAAUGUAAUAUUUUUGAGUCAUCAAUACUCCUCUCAUGUUUUGUAUAUUUUUUUUAAGAAACACCUUAGAUAAUAGUACUUUGGUUGGACUAAAGAAAAAUCUGAAGCACAAGUUAAUUAUAUGUUUGUAUGUAAACUUUACCGAAAAAUUCAAAAAACUGAAAAAAGUUCAAGGUUUAUUAUUUGGUCUGAUUUAUAAAUUUAAAAAUUCGCCACAAUGAUUUCGUUUGAUAUUUGUAAAAGCCGAACCAAUCCGAGGUUGAAAAACUCAAAAUAUUCAAAUUUUAUAAGUUUGGUUUGGUUUAUAAAUUUAAAAUUUUUAUACAAAUGAUUUAGUUUGGUAUUUGAAAAACCCGAACCAACACAAUCAUGUACACCCCUACGUGCCCCAAAGAAAGGAAAAACAAAUAAUUAUUUUUAACACAAAGAAUUGAUUGAAUUCGUUGUGUACUUUCCUUUUUUGAUAUACAUAGAUUAUAUAUUAAUUAUACACUUAUUAUUCAUGAAUUAAAUACAUACUCACUUCGUCCUAAUUUAUGUGACAUUGUUUCCUUUUUAGUCAGUGUCAAAAAGAAUGUCACAUUUCCUUAUAUGAUACGACAAGUAUUUAAAGGUACAAUUUCUCUUUUAUCUUUAUUGGUCCUGCUUAAUUUUAAAUAAUACUCUAAUACAUUUAUGAAGAGACAGAAACGUCAAUUCACUUUUGAAGGACAAUAUGGUAAACAAUUCAAAAAGUCUUCAUGUUGAAUGCCUUGAAUUGAGCCUUAGUUAUCUGUCAAUUAUGUAUUUUGGGCCCAAGCCUGUUAGGGCGUAGCUUAGCACUAUAUAUAGACGCUAUGACAAACCCUAUUCUGUAAUUCUGUUUUUGCCUUUCCGUAAUAAAACUGCUCCCCUCUUUCCGUGGACGUAGCCAACUUAUUGGUGAACCACGUAAAUCUGUUGUCUUGUUUUUCGCGUUUAUAUUUUCUCGUAUUAUCUCGAAUUCCGCAUAAUAAAUUGGUAUCAGAGCCUCCCGGUUAAUCGGUGUUCUUGGAGAAUUUCGAGAUGUCUGCUUUGAACGUGAGGUAUCAUUUUCUGAGAAGUGAGAAGAGAAUCAAGGUGAAGAAAGUAGGAACUGCUGAUAAUCUUGCUGAUAUGUUCACAAAGCCGGUUCCACAGAGCAAGUUUCAACACUGUUUGGACUUGCUCAACAUCAGAAGCUGUUAAUUGCCCUGCGGGGCAAUUCUGAGGAAGAGGGGGAGGCCUGGCACUAUCAUAGUGCGUCUGAAGAAUCUGUUUGGAGAAUUCAAGUCAAGGUGGAGAUUUGUUGAAUGCCUUGAAUUGAGCCCUUAGUUAUCUGUCAAUUAUGUAUUUUGGGCCCAAGCCUGUUAGGGCAUAGCUUAGCACUAUAUAUAGACGCUAUGACAAACCCUAUUCUGUAAUUCUAUUUUUGCCUUUCCAUAAUAAAACUGCUCCCCUCUUUCCGUGGACGUAGCCAACUUAUUGGUGAACCACGUAAAUCUAUUGUCUUGUUUUUCGCGUUUAUAUUUUCUCGUAUUAUCUCGAAUUUCGCACAACAUUUCAUUUAUUUUUUGAACUAUGUGUCAGGUCAAAUAAUGUCAUAUAAAAUGGGACGAAUGUGAGUAUAUUAUAUAUCUAUCCACUAUCAGUUUUAUUCCUUGGAUUUCCACAUGUAAAGACAAUAUUUUUUUCUAGCAGCCCCUGUUGGUCCUUUGGUGCCCCCACAAGUAAUCAAGUGGACUGAAAUGUAGUGCCAAUUUUCUCUAGGAAUUUCUGCAGUAAUUCAAAGGAAUAAAUAGAUAAAUAUGGAUUUCCACAUAUAAAAACACAACACAAAAUAAAUAAAAGUUUAAGUUGUGUUGGGAUAUUAAGUCUUGGGUCAACUUUUGUUAGGUAAAUGAGUUUGAUGAUUAGUAUACGCCAAUUAUACGAGAAAUUAUUAUGAUAAUAAUAGUUUAGAAGUUCAAAUAAUAUAUGAAGUUAAAAUUUAAAUUAAGUGUAAUUUUCUAUCGAUUGACAUGUAUGUGAUUAUCUCACUCGCCUCUUUCUUAUCUCCUGUAGACAUGUAGUUAAUACGAUUUUCAUGAUGUUUAUGGGGAUGAGUCACAUAUAUUUGGGUAUUUCGGUCGCCUCUUUCUUUUUUUCGCUCGUAUUUCUCACUAUUUUUUUUAUUUGGUAGCAAAAAUACAUAUAUAUAUAUAUAUAUAUAUAUAUAUAUAGAUUAGUGUAUCUGACUUAAUAUCUGUAAUGAAACUGUAAAUUAGUGAAACUAUAUAUACAUAAUUAUUUCAAACUAUAAAGAAAACUAGUAAAUAUUAUAGAAAUAUUUAUGUAAUUAGAUAAUUUCAGUUUUAUUUCUCGGAUGGUUCUCGCAUUAGAAAGUACCUACUUUCACCUUGGUAUACCUCUAUUGAAUGUGGCAUGUUUCUAAUGUUCUUUUAUCACAUUCAAGUGCAUCGAUGUGCCUUUUCUCAAUCGAAAAUGACAUAGAUAAUUCAAACUUUUAACAGAUGUUAUAAAAUGAGCUUUUUUCCUAAAGUUCAUUAACAAAUUUGAGCGAUUUUCCUUUUAGGGAUAAAAGAAAUUAAAGAAGAAUAAUACUAAUACUUUUCACUAUUUUACACUUAUUAUUCAUAGACUAGGUACAUAUAUUAUAUAUCUGCAAAUUUUAGUUUUAAAUCCUUGAAUGGAUGUUUACUCUUCCAAGAAGGAUCCGAAAUAGCUGCAUGUUUUCGAACACUUGCAACUUUUUUUAUAACAAAGUGAUUGUUUAACAUUAAAUAUAUUAUAGUGGAUGUCAUUUGGAAAAUAAAACUAUAGAAUAUAAUUUUCUGACACUAGAAGUGAUAAUUUUGUUCAUACACAUGGUCUUUUUUCCACAAUAAUUUUUCUAGAAGUUGAAUAGGUCAAUAAUAAAACACUAUAAAUAGAGAGUUGCUUCAAAAGCAGAAAAAUUCAUCAAAUACACUGUCCAAAUACAUCAGCACUUCUUAUAUUUGCAGCCAUGGGAUUCUUGAAAAUCCUUUUUGUUUUCAUCUUUUGUUCAUUCCCAUGGCCUACUAUUCAGAGUAAUCUCGAGACUUAUAUCGUCCAUGUUGAAUCCCCUGAAAGCCUAAUUACUGCUCAAUCAUCGUUAAUGGAUUUAGAUAGCUAUUACCUUUCUUUUUUGCCUAAAACUACUACCGCAAUUAGCUCUAGUGGAAAUGAAGAGGCUGCUACAAUGAUCUAUUCUUAUCACAAUGUGAUGACAGGGUUUGCAGCAAGAUUAACUGCAGAACAAGUGAAGGAAAUGGAGAAAAAACACGGCUUUGUCUCUGCUCAGAAACAGAGGAUUUUGUCUUUGCACACUACUCAUACUCCAAGUUUUCUUGGUUUGCAGCAGAACAUGGGCUUGUGGAAAGAUUCCAAUUUUGGAGAAGGCGUGAUCAUCGGAGUUCUAGACACUGGAAUUCUUCCUGAUCAUCCUUCAUUUAGCGAUGUUGGGAUGCCUCCCCCGCCUGCUAAGUGGAAAGGAGUUUGUGAGCCCAAUUUCACCAACAAGUGUAACAACAAGCUCAUUGGAGCCAGGUCUUACAAACUUGGCAAUGGUUCCCCGAUAGACGAUGAUGGACAUGGUACACACACAGCAAGCACAGCUGCGGGGGCUUUUGUGAAAGGUGCUAAUGUAUAUGAAAAUGCUAAUGGAACUGCAGUUGGUGUUGCUCCUCUUGCCCAUAUAGCCAUAUAUAAGGUGUGUAACUCUGUUGGUUGUUCUGACAGUGAUAUUUUAGCUGCCAUGGAUUCAGCUAUAGAUGAUGGAGUAGAUAUUCUUUCUAUAUCCAUUGGUGGAUCUCUGAGACCUCUUUAUGAUGAAAGUAUUGCUCUCGGGGCGUACAGUGCAACACAAAGAGGCAUUCUUGUUAGUUGCUCAGCAGGCAAUAAUGGUCCUUCGCCUGCCUCAGUAGAUAACUCAGCCCCUUGGAUUCUUACAGUAGGUGCCAGCACGCUUGAUAGAAAGAUAAAAGCUACUGCUAAGCUCGGAAAUGGAGAGGAAUUUGAAGGAGAAUCUGCUUAUCGUCCAAAGAUUUCCAACUCAACAUUCUUCACUCUAUUUGAUGCUGCAAAAAAUGCAAAAGAUCCAUCUGAAACCCCUUAUUGCAGACGAGGGUCACUCACUGACCCUGCUAUAAGAGGAAAGAUAGUAUUAUGUUUAGCAUUCGGCGGUGUAGCCAAUGUUGAUAAAGGACAAGCUGUGAAGGAUGCUGGAGGUGUUGGCAUGAUUGUCAUCAACCCAUCACAAUAUGGUGUCACUAAAUCAGCUGAUGCUCAUGUUCUUCCAGCAUUGGUUGUUUCAGCUGCAGAUGGAAGCAAAAUUCGUGCCUAUACAAACUCAAUAUCGAACCCUGUUGCUACAAUCACAAUCCAAGGAACAGUAAUUGGAGAUAAAAAUGCUCCAAUAGUUGCUGCAUUUUCUUCUCGCGGACCAAGUAAACCUAAUCCUGGGAUCUUGAAACCUGACAUAAUUGGUCCUGGUGUUAAUAUCCUCGCUGCUUGGCCUACUUCUGUGGAUGACAACAAGGACACCAAAUCCACAUUCAAUAUUAUAUCAGGCACCUCGAUGUCUUGCCCACACCUUAGUGGGGUAGCAGCUCUGCUGAAGAGAACACAUCCUGAUUGGUCUCCUGCUGUUAUUAAGUCUGCAAUGAUGACAACCGCUGACACAUUAAACCUUGCCAGUAGUCCAAUACUCGACCAAAGGCUCCGUCCUGCUGAUAUCUAUGCAAUAGGUGCAGGACAUGUUAAUCCAUCGAGGGCAAAUGAUCCAGGACUAGUUUAUGAUACCCCAUUUGAGGAUUAUGUACCUUAUUUAUGUGGUUUGAACUACACAAAUCCACAGGUAGGUAAAUUGUUACGACGCAGGGUGAAUUGCUCGGAGGUUGAAAGUAUCCCUGAAGCACAAUUAAACUAUCCUUCAUUUUGCAUAUCGAGACUUGGAUCAACUCCUCAGACAUACACCAGAACUGUGACCAAUGUUGGUGAUGCCAAAUCAUCUUACACGGUGCAGAUAGCUUCACCUAAAGGCGUUGUCGUGAAAGUUAAGCCCAGCAAGCUAAAUUUCUCGGAGUUGAACCAGAAGCUAACAUACCAAGUGACAUUUUCCAAGACAAUUAACAGCUCAAUGUCUGGGGUUGUUGAGGGAUUCUUGAAGUGGAAUUCUAACAGGCACUCUGUGAGAAGUCCAAUUGCAGUUGUGUUGGCAUUGGCUAAGUAAGUGCACAAAGUAUUCAAACAUUUGAAAAUGCUGUUUGAUUACACAAUAAACGUUCUGUUACUUUUUUCAUUGUUAAAACAAUAAACUUUAUGUUCACAGCUGAUUGAAGAAAGCAAAAGCAUAUCCUCUUUGAUAUUAGUGUCCUUGCUCUGCUUAACUUUUCUUCUUGAUUUCAUUUUUGUUCGACAAAUAAAGUGACUUCUCGAGAUAAUAAAUAUUAGUUAAGUGACCGAGUAAGAAUCUCAGUUCAUACUUAAAUUUGGGAAAUUUGUUGUCACCUACAUAAUAACACACCCUUUGAUCCAGAAUAUUGACAGUGACUUCAAAUAUAAAGUCUUAGUCUUUGGUGACUUCAAAAAGUAAUUGUGACGUCAAUGCUAAAAUUAUUAAUAGGACAAUUAAAAUAAUGGAGACAUAUCCUAUGAAUUUCCUAGAAAUCGAUUGAACUUUUAUUUUUUAACAUAUUAUUGAAGGGGACUAAUGUACAUCAUCCAUGGUACAUAUUGUCUUGCAAAGAAAUGAAAUUAACCAAUACAUAUUUUGUUUUGUUAUAAUUUUCAAAAAAAGAAAAAAAAGAACUAGAAUUAUAGAAUGCAUUGUUGCUAUUUGCGUGUGGCCCAUCAUGUAUUGGUGGCAUUAUUAUACUAAGAAAUGAAUUUUCCCUACCUAAACCCUUACAACUAGUUAUUAGAGUAAGGGUUGUUUAAAUUCAUAUAAAGAGAUGUUCUCAUUCUUAAUAAUUUUUCUACUCGCCAAGUGAAAUGAAAUGAAUCAAGAAUUAGGAUGAAUAUAACUCUAAUAUAAUUAGAAAUGAUUUUUUCGUACCUAAACCCUUAAAACUAGUUAAUAGAGUAAGGAUCGUUGAAAUCUACAUAAAUAGAUAUUCUCAUUCUUAAUCAACCCCUUUAUGCACGCCCAAUGAAAUUGAAUUAAAUAAAAAAUUAGAUGAAUUUAUCUCGCUUUAAAAAGUACCAACUUUUUUUACCUUGGUCCACUUUGAUUGAAUAAGUCAUUUUUCUAAUGUUCUUAUCGCAUUGAAGUGCAUGGAUGAGCCUUUUCUCAACUGUAAAUAACAUAGAUAAGUCAAACUUUUAACGAAUAUCAUGUAUAAGACCUUUCAUAAAGCUUGGCGAUAUUUUAAGGCUUUUCCUUUUAAGGAAAAAAAAUAAAUUAUUUUUAACGGAUGUCAUAGAUGAGCCAUUAAUUAAAGCUCGAUGACAUAUUUGACUCUUUUCCCUUUUAGGGAAGAAAAGAAAAUAAAGAAGAAUAAAACUAUAGAAUAUAGUUCAAUUUAGCUAGUCUCAUUCACACUACUAACCUUUCUUUUCUUCUCCACAUGGUCUUUUUGCCACAAUAUAAUAGUUUUUUUUCUAGAAAUUGAAUAGGUCACUAACAAAACACUAUAAAUAGAGUUGCUUCAAAGCAGAUAAAUUCAUCAAAUAAACUUUCUAAAAACAUAAUCAGUUCUUGUAUUAGCAGCCAUGGGAUUCUUGAAAAUAUUUCUUGUUUUCAUCUUUUGUUCUUUCCCAAGGCCUACUAUUCAGAAUGAUCUCGAGACUUAUAUAGUCCAUGUUGAAUCUCCUGAAAGCGUAAUUUCUACACAAUCAUCGGUAACGGAUUUAGAUAACUAUUAUCUAUCUUUUUUGCCUAAAACUACAACAAUCAGCUCAAGUGAAAAUGAAGAGGCUGCUAGCAUGCUCUAUUCCUAUCACAAUGUGAUGAAAGGGUUUGCAGCAAGAUUAACAGCAGCACAAGUGAAGGAAAUGGAGAAUAAACACGGCUUUGUCUCUGCUCAGAAACAGAGGAUUUUCACCUUGCAUACUACUCAUACUCCGAACUUUCUCGGUUUGCAACAGAACAUGGGCUUGUGGAAGGAUUCCAACUAUGGGAAAGGCGUGAUCAUCGGAGUUAUAGACACUGGAAUUUAUCCUGACCAUCCUUCAUUUAGCGACUUUGGGAUGCCUCCUCCGCCUGCUAAGUGGAAAGGAGUUUGUGAGUCUAAUUUCAAAACCAAGUGUAACAACAAGCUCAUUGGAGCGAGGUCUUACCAAAUUGCUAACGGUUCCUUGAUAGAUGAUACUGGACAUGGUACACACACAGCAGGCACAGCUGCAGGAGCCUUUGCAAAAGGUGCUAAUGUAUUUGGGAAUGCUAAUGGCACUGCUGUUGGUGUUGCCCCUCUUGCCCACCUAGCCAUAUAUAAGGUUUGCAAUUCUGAUGGCGAGUGUCCUGACUGUGAUAUUUUAGCUGCCAUAGAUUCAGCUAUAGAUGAUGGAGUAGAUAUUCUUUCAAUAUCCUUGGGUGGAUCUCCGAGCCCUUUCUAUGAUGACUGUAUCGCUCUUGGGGCAUACAGUGCAACAGAAAGAGGCAUUCUUGUAAGUUCUUCUGCAGGCAAUGAAGGUCCUUCUGUUGCCUCAGUGGAAAAAGCAGCCCCGUGGAUUCUUACAGUAGGUGCCAGCACACUUGAUAGAAAGAUAAAAGCUACUGUUAAUCUCGGAAAUAGAAAGAAAUAUGAAGGAGAAUCAACUUAUCGUCCAAAGAUUUCCAGCUCAACAUUCUUCACUCUAUAUGAUGCUGCAAAAAAUGCAAGUGAAACUCCUUAUUGCAGACCAGGAUCACUAACUGACCCUGCUGUAAGAGGAAAGAUAGUAUUAUGUCUACAAGAUGAUAUUGUUUCCAAUAUUGAAAAAGGACAAGCUGUGAAGGAUGCUGGAGGUGUUGGCAUGAUUAUCAUCAACCAGCCAAGUUACGGUGCCACUAAAUCAGCUGAUGCUCAUGUUCUUCCAGCAAUGGAUGUUUCAGCUGCAGAUGGAACAAAAAUCAUUUCCUAUAUGCACUCAACAUCAAACCCUAUUGCUAGAAUCACAUUCCAUGGAACAGUAAUUGGAGAUAAAUAUGCUCCCAUUGUAGCUGCAUUUUCUUCUCGCGGACCAAGUGAAGCUAGUCCUGGAAUCUUGAAACCUGACAUAAUCGGUCCUGGUGUUAAUAUCCUUGCUGCUUGGCCUACCUCUAUGGAUGGCAACAAAAACACCAAAUCCACAUUCAAUAUUAUAUCAGGCACCUCAAUGUCUUGCCCUCACCUUAGUGGCGUAGCAGCUCUGCUGAAAAGCACACAUCCUGAUUGGUCUCCUGCUGCUAUAAAGUCUGCAAUCAUGACAACCGCUGACACGUUAAACCUUGCCAAUAGUCCAAUACUAGACGAAAGACUCCUUUUUGCUGACAUCUAUGCAAUUGGUGCAGGACAUGUUAAUCCAUCGAGGGCAAAUGAUCCAGGACUAGUUUAUGAUACUCCAUUUGAGGACUAUGUAGCUUAUUUGUGUGGUUUGAACUACACAAAUCCACAGGUAAGUAAACUCUUACAACGCAAAGUGAAUUGCUGGGAGGUUGAAAGUAUCCCUGAAGCACAAUUAAACUAUCCUUCAUUUUCCAUAUCCGGACUUGGAUCAACUCCUCAGACAUAUACCAGAACAGUUACCAACGUUGGUGACGCCGAAUCAUCUUACAAAGUGGAGAUAGCUUCACCAAAAGGUGUUGUCGUGGAAGUUGAACCCUCCGAGCUGAAUUUCUCCGAGUUGAACCAGAAGUUAACAUACCAGGUAACGUUUUCCAAGACAAUCAGCAGCUCACAGCCUGAGGUUGUUGAGGGAUUCUUGAAGUGGAAUUCUAAUACGUACUCUGUGAGAAGUCCAAUUGCAGUUGUGUUAGUAUUGACUACAUAAGUGCAGAAAAUGCUGUUUGUUUUCACUGUAUACUUUAUUUUACUUUUUCAAUCUUUUAUUACUAUUUUGAUUUUCACUGGUCUUUAAUAAUUUUAUCAUUAUGAAAUAUUGUUUCAAUGUUUGUUCACAGCUGAUUAAAUAAUAUGAAACCAUUGCUUUUCCUUUAUCAUUACAUUUUAUAUAUUUAUUUUCUUUUCUUUCUUGAUUUCAUUAUGUUCAUAGAAAAAAAAACGACUUUUUGAGAUAAUAAACAUAAGGUGAGUGACCAUGUGAGAAUUUUUGUUAUUACUCGAAUCUGAGAAAUUUGUUGUUAGUUACCUAAUAAUGUAGCCUUUAAUCAUGACUCCGAAUCUUGAUUGUGACAUACUUACUUCUAUUUUUCUUAUAUGAAUAACUUGAUUAAAAUGUAAUUAUCUUCGAGAAUAAAAAGUUUGUUAUGUUUAAUACCUUUAGUUUGACCGGUAUCGAUCUUAAUUGUAGUUUCUUUUCAUUAGCAAAUUGCCUAACGCUCUUUUUUUUUUUUUUUUUUUGUGAACAAUGUAUCUUAUUGUUGUGAUAUUAUUAACCAUGUGAUUUAUUUGAAGUGUUUUAUUGAUCCCUGGUAAAGAUUAGUUGUUUUAUUUUAUUUAUUAUAAUAAAGUUUCUAAUUGAUUAAGUUAUUAUGUUUAUAUGUGACUCCUUUGUUUAGUAAAUGAUUUUGUGUAUGAAGUUAUUUAAUUCAUACACAGAAUAUUAAAAUUGUCGGUUCUUGUAAGUUACUAUCAUUGUUCACAAUCAAAGAUGAGGUAGGACAGAAUAUUGAUGCUUGUAUCACAAGAUUAAAAAUAAUUCGAUCUUAAUUAUGAGUAAUUCUAACUUCUUGUAUUAGUACAUUUUUUUAUGUAUUAAAUGAACCAAAUAGUGAUAUUAUUUUUUAUUCUAAUAUUAAUAAACAAUAUCUUUAGUCCAUUACAUGAACUGAUAUUCUUAAUUUAAUAUAAUUAUUAUGAUCUAUGUAGUUUAAUUUAUUAUUUUAAUCUAUUAAAAUGUGAGACUCUAUUACGAGUCAAUAUAUUUUUAAUAGAUUGAAUAAUGAAAAAUCACAUAAAUAAAUAAUAAUUGAUUAAUAUAACCAUGUCUCAAAUUUGAGAUAGAAGAUACCCCAUUAUAAUUACUUAUAAGUUUUUCAUAUCAGACCCAGGAUUCGAUUUUCAUGUGAGACCCAGGAUUCGAGAUAAGAGAUAAGUUAAGUAUAAAAUAGAGGGUUAAACUAGUUAGUUAAUUAAAAUUUUUUCUGAAGUUUAUUUUAAUUGAUUAGUAUCGAUAAAUUUAAUGUGGAAAAUUAAAUAAAUUGUAGUAGUAAAUUUCGAAAUUAAAUUGCGAAGUAUAAUUACAAAUUUUAUUGGUACAAACUGCAAUAUGUAAUUUUAUUAAAAUAUGGUUAAUUCAUGUUUUUAUGAACUAAUAUUAUAAUGGAAAUUUACGAUACUAAAAUUGUGAUUUAUGUUGUAUUUGACUAAUUGAUAAGUUCAACAACCAUUAUGGAACAAGUAUUUCUUUUAUUUUUGUCAUGAAUGAAUUAAUAACUUUAUUUUGUUCAGUGCCGAGUUAACUGACACAGAAGAUUAAUGACAGAAUCAUUUUUUCUUUUCCGACCUUUUAAUUUUUGCCUUGUUCAUUCGAAUGAAAAUCCACGAAAAAUUAUAAAUUUUCUAAAAACAUUUUUACCAAAUCAACUAGGGAAACAAAAAAAUGGAGUAUGGAGCCUAAAGGGUACAAAAUAUUAAUAAAAAUUUCAAAAUGGUAUAUAAAAUUUUAUAUUAACCAAAACAGUAAAAUCGCUGUAUCAACAGCUAUUUACUUCCCCGGAAAAAGCAAAAUCGCUGCUUUUUUUUUUAAAAAAAAAUGAAAUCGCUACCUAGGCAGCGAUUUUUAAAAAAAGAUUUUUUUUUUAAAUGGGGAAGUCGCUGCCUGGGCAGCGACUUUUAUAAAAAAAAAUAUUUUGAAAUGUGCAAGUCGCUGCCCAGGCAGAGACUUGUAUAAUUUUUUUUAAAAAAAUUUUAAUUUUUUUUCUUAAAAUAAAUGUGGAAUUUUUUUUAAAAAAAAAUUCUUUUUAAAGCAGCAAUUUUAUAAGAUAAAAAAAAAGUUAUAAUAUCUUUUUUUAUAAAAUUGCUACUUUAAAUUUUAUUUUUUUAAAAUAAUUAUUUAUGGAAAAUCGCAGCGAUUUUCAUAUUUUAAAAAAAAAUUAUAAAUUCGCUAACUGAUUUACAUAUUUUUUAAAAAAAAUUAUAAAUCGCUGCGUAGGCAGCGAUUUAAAAAAUUUAUAAUUUUUUUUAAAAUAUGAAAAUCGCUGUGAUUUUCCAAAAAUAUUACCCAAUUUAUAAAUUUAUAAAUUUUUUAAAUCGCUGCGAUUUUCCACAAAUAUUUUUUUUAAAAAAAUAAAAUUUAAAGUAAAAUUAUAAAAUUAUUGCUUUAAAAAGUCUUUUUUUUUAAUUUCCACAUUGUUUCCACAUUUUUUUAAAGAAAAAAAAUUAAAAAUUUCAAAAAAAAUAAAAAAUUAUACAAGUCGCUGCCCAGGCAGCGACUUUGCACAUUUCAAAAAAAAAAAAUUUUAUAGACUUCCUCAUUUAAAAAAAAUUCUUUUUUUUUAAAAUCGCUGCCUAGGCAGCGACUUUUUUUUAAAAUAAAUUAAAAUCGCUGCCUAGGUAGCGAUUUCAUUUUUUUAAAAAAAAAAUUCACAUUUUGCAAAAUCGCUGCCUCGGCAGUGAUUUUGCUUUUUCGGGGAUGUAAAUCGUUGUUGAUGCAGCGAUUUUGCCGUUUUGGUUAAUAUAAAAUUUUAUAUACCGUUUUGAAAUUUUUGUUAAUAUUUUGUACCCUAAAGGGUCCGUACUCCAAAAAAAAUGUAGCAUUAAAUGGUAUUAUAUUUAGUUAUAAUGUGAAUUCAUGAUAUUGAAUAAUAUUUUUUCUCUUCAAAUUCUAACCCUUAUACUAGUCAUACGUCUAUUCUCUUAAUUGCUACAAGUAAUAUAACGAGAUAGGAUUCUUUUUUCGAGUUGCAAGUGGUGAACUUUUUGGAACAAAAUGAGAAAUUACGAAAAACAAUGUUCACUAUUUAAAUUUUAUGGUCACAUUUUGGCAGAACAUACAUAUUUAGUUUAAAGAGAAAAAUCAAAUAAUUUGCAUGCCUGAUUCAAUUCGGUGGCAACACCAUAAUUUUAGUGAAAUAACAAUUAAACUACUAAAAAUAUUAAAGAAUGUAAUACAUAACUCACAAUGUCAUGGAACAUUUCCAAAGUCAAGAAAAUAUUAAAAAAUAUUAUCUGUAUUUUUAGUAUCUAAAUUAAUAUAGUCCAUAAUGUUUUAAAGUAUAGAUAUGUAGCUAUUGAAAAAUGAUUAAUUAAGCUAUAAUAAUUUUAAAAAAAUAAUUUGGACGUGUCUAAAUCUUGAUCAUCCUAUCUUAAAGGGGCCAGGUGUAACGUCUCUUUCUCAUGCUUAAUAAAUUUAUAGUUUACUCUUAAAUAAUUUAUUUAUUUAUUUUUGUAAGAAAAACAUAUUAUCCUAUUGAAGAUGAAGUUAUGACUUUUGGAGAAUAUAAGUAAUGUACACUAGAUAUAUGAUACAAUUACCCAAACACAGAAUCUAAAAUUUUAACUUAAUGAGUUUUAUUUUUAAAGUUCUUAACAUUGAGUUCACUACAAUUUUAAAAUUAUGGUUGAUUUUGUCAAAUUAUUGGAAAAGAUCAAAACUUAUACAUAAAACUAAUUAGAAGUUAUUAUAUUUUAUUAUAGAAGUAGUUAACAUCAGCCUGUUGGGAUUUUUAAAUUUUGUUGAAAUUCCCUAUCACUAUCUCAGCGUUAGUUAAGAGGGAUGCAAUAGGGGAAUGUUAAAUGUACAUGUAUUAUACAAUUUUGGGGAAAAGCUAAUAACAUUAUUUCAAGUCAUAUUGUACUUUUAUUAACUUUUAUUAGUAUUAUUAUUAUAGUUCUGGUGUCUAGAUUAAUUUAUCGUACCUCAACUAAUUUCACAUCAUACUAGGUCAAAAUUCUAUUGUGGCAUCCGAAAGUAUUAGAAGGUAGCAUGUGGCGAUUGAGGCUAGUCAACUCCAGCUCAACAAUGCUCAGUUUGACUAAGUGCUCACUCAAAAGGCAAAAGUUAUGGCAGAGAUUGUGGGUUAUCCUAGGGUUCCAAGCUCUCAAGUGAUUUUUUUGGAUAUAUUUCUAGACUUUUUUAGGUCCCCGCAAGGAUGACCUAACGAUCGAGCCAUCACACAUUGGAGUAACCUUCUAGAGAUAUCAGGUUAAAAACUCAGCUACUAUACACUAGGUGUGUGAGUCCGUUAGCUCUAACAUAUAUGAACACCUUGGCAAAAAUCACGUCCAUUAAGAAAUCAACAAACAUAAUGUGUAGUUUACUAAACUACCCUUGUUAUAUACUUCUCUUAAAAAUUGAACACUAUUAAUAUAAGGGUCUGGUUGAAAAACAUACUAAUUUUCGUCUUGAAUUUUUAACGUCACACUUAUUUUGGGACGGAGUGAGUACUUGUGAGAUGAACAAGACACCUCAUGUAUUAGUUAAGUCAUGCUCAAGUUGGCUUGAACACUACUUAAAAAGUAUAUUGUAGAUUAAUGACUUCAUCUAUAUGAUGUUGCUAUGCCAACUUCAUUAAAAAAAUAGAAGUUAAGUAUAAUAAAAUCGUUUUAGCGUAUAGAAUGACCAAUUCACAUUCUAUUUUCUAUUUAAUCCAAGAAUGACUAUUUCACAUUUCUAAAACUACCUUCUGACUUGCAAAUAAAAAAAUAAACUUCCAAUUUGUAUAUAUAGCCUCAAUGAAAAUUCAAAAAACACACACCACCAAAUAACAUCUCUUUCUUUAGUAGUAAAAUUAUGAUGGCUCAAUACAGUUCAGUUCUUACUAUAAUUGGGCUGAUUUGUGUGCUCUUUUCAUUUACUACUCAUGCAGCUGAACAGAACAAUUCACAAAUCUAUAUUGUUCAUUGUGAGUUCCCUUCUGGGGAAAGGACUGCAGAAUACCAAGAUUUAGAAAGCUGGUAUCUUUCUUUCUUGCCUACAACAACCUCCGUUAGUUCUCGUGAGGCACCACGUUUGAUAUAUUCCUAUCGAAAUGUCUUAACAGGCUUUGCAGCUAAGUUAUCAGAAGAAGAUAUAAAGGAAAUGGAAAAAAAGGAAGGAUUUGUUUCUGCACGCCCCCAGCAGUUUGUUAGUUUACACACCACACAUAGUGUCAAUUUCUUGGGAUUGCAACAGAACAUGGGGUUCUGGAAAGACUCUAAUUAUGGGAAAGGUGUGAUCAUCGGAGUUCUAGACACUGGAAUUCUUCCUGACCAUCCUUCAUUUAGUGACGUUGGGAUGCCUACCCCACCUGCUAAGUGGAAAGGAGUUU
rnacentral:lncRNA from 1 species